CGAAAAAGAGGUCAAAAGGCAUAUCACUAGCGUGUUUUAUUCGGGUCUUUCUAUUUAAUUAUUCGUAAUUCUACUAUAAAAUUAAAAUUAUUGUUUCUUUUGCCUUUUAUGGUCCUGGAGAUAGUCCUUCCGGAACAUAGACGAUCAAAACUCAAGGCUCUAGAGUAGUGGCGUACGUAAAUGGGGGAAGUAAACGGGUUUAAUGAUACGUUUGAUGUGCUUCAACGUCGUAUAUUGUGCAAUUUUACAUUUAAACAUUUUCUUUUUAUCGUGGACUAGCGGAUUAUACUGAUCGUCAAAGUUACCUUCGUUGUAAUCAUUCACCGUUGUAACAAUCAGUGAAAUUAUUGAAUGAUACAGUAAUGUUUAAAAGGAUCAUUUUUCUUUAUCUACUAUAUUUGAAUUUGUCAACCGGAGUUUUGUGUCAAUUAGUACAUAUUUGUUGUUUCCCCACUUCGAAUAGAAGUGGUACAGCCGGAAGCUUCCUAGACUAUAGUACGAACUCGGGAACAAACGCCUAAUCGUACCUUUCGGCUAGCGGAUAAACUUAAUAGCUCGUUUAAAUUACUACAGCUGCUGAGUCGUCUAAGAGAAAACCUAAGAGGAUACGAAUCAGAACUGUAUGGGUGCUCAAGCAGCUGCAAAUAGCCUCGGAACCUUUCGUGACCUCAACCGAAUUGCUAGAGUACGCAGAGGGCAAGGUUGCAUAGACAAAAUAUUGGACCACCGGUAUCUCCCUCGCUCUUGCCUUAUUUGCCGCCUUUUAUUCGGCCGUGAUAAUGACCUAUUGACGUGACUCCUAAGAGGUUUGAACCUUGUCGGCGGAGAGGCUGGUAACUUCCCGAUCUCAGGUAACUAAGCGUAACGAGUAGUUACCGGCCUCCAUUUUCGACAACUAGCAAAAGAACACAGAGACCAAGAACUGAACGACCUUGACCGACUUUCAGUUACCCGACUUUUUGCCUUCUUUGCUGUCUUUUUAAGCAUUUGUAAUGUUCUUUUCGUAAUGAAUGUAUAUAGUCGUUAGUUGAGGGUUAAGGUUUGUUUUUUUGAAGGGAUAAAUAUCAUUCCUCACUUUUGUUCAACGAUUUAUGACGUCUAGAGACUUUGUUUCUUUCGUUAGGCUUAAACGUUCCUGUUACUUCUGGUCUUUUUCGAAUAAAUAACGUAUAAAAACGCAACCAAAUCUUUUUAUCUUUCUCUAUCCCUUUUUGAUUGGAGCAGUCCAUGGUAUAGUUUUUCCGAUCUAGAGGAGAAAGAAGACCAGUACAACCAAACUGCAUACUUCAUAAAAACUCGUACCGAACGAUGAACCCAUCCGCAUGCACUGUGGUGUAUUAAUGCUCUAUAAGGAGCGGUCAGUGGGAAGGGUUCGAAAACGUUAGGUUAAUCUUUGUAAGCCACGAGAAGAAGUCAGGUACCGUGUGGACUGUAGUUAGUAGUAUUUUACCCACAAUACAGUACAAUCGAUAUUGUUCUCAGUUAAAACUAAGGACAUCAGGUCUUUUUUGUAGAUGUUCAUAGUAACUGUAUGUUGGUGGUAAAGGUUAUCAUUAACACGGAUAGGAGCGUAACCAUACGGAUAGUUUAGUACAUUAUAUGUUUAGUUGUACUGUCACUUCUACAUACACUAUAAGAUAAGUUUUCCUUUUGUUUACAAGUCCGUCCUAGUCGCUUUUAGUUUCCUGUGAAACUAUCGAUAUUAAAUUUCAUCUUUCUUAAAUUAGAUAAAGCAGAGAAAGAUCACCGUACAAUCGAUUUGACCUCUUGUCGAAGUUCUGUCUUUCGGGGACGGUUGUAAACAAAGUACAAGUGUACAGGUAGUCUUAGGAUCUCACAUGUCAAGCUUCUAUGACCGUCCUUUUAAUUAUAGAAGUGACGAUUAACACCAUACGUUCGGAUAAACCUGCCUUUUUUCCACUAUGGUUUUUGGAUUGUUUAUGUCUUUUUAAGUAUUAUUACCGUAUUCUACGGAGGUUUAGUUUAUUUGGAUGUAUCGUGCAGUUAUAACAACUACUCUAUUUCGUGAUGACGUCUGCAAGAACCUUCAUAUUAGAACAUUCGUCAAAUUAUCUAAGCUUUCUUACACGAAUUUUGUGGGAAGAUGAUUUUGUGGGAAGUUGAACUUUCAGGCCUGGAGAUAGAGUUAUUUACAAUAGCGAUUACUACAAUAAAAAGAUGUAGUCUAGUUUCUAGUGUUAAGGUUCUUUAAGUUUUGCGUCAGUAACAUUAGACGUUAUACAAUUAUCAUGUAUUCUCGUAACGAGACGUUUCUAUCACAAUUUUUUUACUUGACAGUUAUUCUCUUCGUCAAAAUACGGUCAGUUGUUUGGUCAAGGGUAUUUAAGGAUGCGGUGUAAUUGCGUCUCCUUCAACAUCUUUUUAUAUGGUACGUACAUCCGUUCUUGUAGACUAUUGCUAUUUUAUCAACAGUGAAGUUCUAAAGAUGCUAAUUGAGUUUUAAAUACAGAUCCAUUGUUCGUAAACUACCCACGUACCACCCUUGAUCAUGAAGUAUAAUCGAAAGAAAAUUCUUAAAAUACGAGGAGACAUGGUAAGAUUUAAGUAUUUAUGUUCAAGACUCAUUUGAACAUUUAGAUAACAGGCGGUAUUAUUCAGGGAAGUUCCAAAAAUUUCCGCGUUCAGUGUGCUUUCGUGUUCCCGAAGUUAUCGGUACCGUGUUCCUCGUUUCGCGCGGAAACUCCUUCUGCUCGAUGGAAUUUUGAAUAAACAUCUUUUCAAAGUCGAUUCUAAGUUUUCAUAUUGUACCAAGAUAUUUAACUUAAUAAUGUCGUUUGUUUAACGAAGUUGUUACGUUUAGCCAUAUCUCUCUUACGACUGUUAGUGAUUAAUAGGUUUUAGACGUAGAGUCGAUACAUGUAUUUGUAGGUUUUGGACUUUAGUUCCAAACCUUUAGGAGACUGUAUUUGUAGGUUUUAAACGAAAGCUUUUGGUUUGGACAUGGGCAUCGAUCUACCCAGAUUAACGACGAAUGUGAAUCCCUCUGUGUGUCAUUCCGACCUUAUCUAAAAACCCGGGGAUACUCGAACACCGAAGUUCCCCUCGUCGAUUGGAAGGGUAGUUCAUGUUUAAACUGAUACCCCAGGGGUUUACAGCUCUUCGAGUAGAAUGCCCUGCAGGAGUUUAGGUUGUUGGGUAAAGGUGAGCUUGAAUUGAUAGAUGUUUGACAAUACUUUUAUGUAUUGUGUUCCGAUACUUUUAUGGAUUGUGUUCCGUUUGAAUCUCGGUUCGACGAAUUCUUUACAGGUGGUUGUCUAGUUCGGUCUGUCUCUCUUCUUUAUAGACUGAACGGGAAGUGUUACAAUUUACUGCGUGCGAUUCUGUUAGAAGUUUUUUUAUUUAUUUAUUUAUUAGUUCUCAACUCCACAAUACAAAAUCUACGUUACCAAAGACUAUAGGAGAUUGUAAACAUGUCGGUCUCUGUACUUAUAAUAUCUCAUUUAGACGUAUUCGGUAGUGGGAUUUUAAGCGCCAGUUCGCUUCUACGUACGCAUAGUAAGCUCUAUACGUAGAUCAUUGUUCGUUAGGGACUAGCGUUGUAUAGCUGAAUUCGAGGGUUCUCUAUACUUGAGUUUUUAAAGCUUCUUUUAAGUGACGAAGAUUAUGUGGCCUUGGUAAUUAUACUACAAAGAUUAUUUUGAUUAGGAAACUGCAUGAUGCUAUUGAAGUCUCAAACAUGGUGAGAAAGUUCUAGAUUUACAGUGUUUAACGGUGGUAAAAAGGGAUUGUGGUUUCCUGCUACUUUUACUUUGUAGUCGCCUCUAGAGUUGAACCUUGCUCUUUGGGGAUUAAACAGCUCUAGCUUAGCCUUUGCUUUCGUUGUUUUCCUCCCUAGUCCUCGGCGAGUGGGAAGAAGGCGAGCGCCGUCGAGCUCCUGCUAGGGACCUGCAUUAGUAGCCUUCGCAUGGGGAGCCGCCUCCGCGGCGGCGGCGGCGAGAGCACGGGGAGCCGCCCGCUGCGGGGCGGCCUAGGCCGCUCCUCCCUCUCCAAGGGGUACGAGCGCGAGAAGGCCUACCUAGGUAGCCACUCCGCGUGCGGCUUCUCGAAGUGGGGCGCCAAUCCCGUGCAGGAGCUCAACACGGGCAACACCGAUGUUACCCUCGUGGCGGAGCAGUAGAGAGGGUUGGAGGAGGAGGAGGAGGAGGAGGAGGAGGAGGGCUGCGGUGGCCUCCUCGGAGAGCUUCGAACGCUAGCUAGGCUUGGUGCUCCCGCUAGCCACUCACGCGCCUCUCGCCUCGAUCCCAAUCCCAAAACCCCUAGCUCCUUGCCCCCUAGCUCCCUCCUCCUCGCCCCCUAGCUCCCUCUCCCCACCUCUUUCCCCUAUCCCCCCUACCCUAUUUUCAACCACCUCUGCCCCCUUCCCCUCAACCUUGUGCAGCCUGGCAGGUGCACCGCCUAAAAGGUACCCAUAUAUGCAGUAAGGUCGUCGCACACCUACUGCUCUAAAUAGGAGCAGGUUGAGUCUAAAAUAUGGAGGGGGUUGUUAAAUUUUUGAUACAAAAAAAUUUUUUUUUUUUGAUUGCGGAUACAACAGGUUUUUUUUAAAGAUUGGCUCAAAUCAGAAUUUUCUAUAUUUUUUAAAUCCCAUUUGAGAUUUAUAGUAAAGACACUAAAGUAUAAAAAAAUAAAAUUAUUAUAUAUUAAAUUUCAUAAUCAUGAGAUAAUAAUAAUAAAAAAAGUAAUCGAGGAGGUAAUUAUAAAAUAAUUUAAUAUAUGUUUUUAUGAAGUCUAUAGAAUAGAUUUAAAUAACUUAUAAAUGAAAUGAUAUAAAAUCAAAAUAGAAACAUUGACUAAAUCGUUUUAUUUAAUAUUUCUAUUCUUUUUUUAUUUUAAUACCCAUGAUUUAACUAUGCAAAAUUUGGUGUUUUAUGAAAUCUAAGCCAUUUUUUUUAAAACAGCUAAUCUUACUAGGCAAUUUUUCUUUUUUUUUUUUCUCCUUACUGUGGUUUCACCAUAAUUUUCUCUUAUUUUUUGUUAUCAAGUACCCCAACUUACUCCUAUUCCGUGCAUGCGCGUGACUAACCUAAUCAAUGCACGGAGCAAAACUGAGAACCUAUCAGGUGUCAAAGAGUGUCCCAAAUCAACUUAGGCUGGGUGUAAAAUUGUCCAGUUCGGGUUAAGUGUGUGACUAUGUAUAACCGGAAAACACAUGCCAAGCCCAGGCGAUUGUACAAACCCGCAUCUUAACAUUAUAUUUACUUUUUUAUUCCUAUUUUUACACGCCUUAAAUACACUCUAUAUGUGAUAAAACUCAACUAUCAAUAUCACGUGCACGUUAUGUGCAUUGUAAAUUAAUUUAAUUUAAAUAUAAAUAUAAAAUAUAAAUUUAUUAAUAACUACCAUAUUUAGAUAAAUAGUCAAUUAAAAAAAUUUUUUUAAUUAAAAAAAUUAUACAUAGGUUUAAAAUUUUUAAAUUUCAUUAAGAUUUAAAAUUUAAUUAUUUAAGUAUAAAUUUAAAUACUUAUUUUGAGUUUUAAACUAUAAUUAAAACUUAGGUAUUAAACUUAUAUUUAUUAAUAAUUUCUGUAAUUAAAUAAAUAGUAAGGUAGAUAAAAAGUUUAAACUAUAUAAAAGUUCAAUUAAUUAAUAAAAAUUAAACUUUAUGAUAAAUGUGUGGGUUUUAUAACUUUUAAAUUAAUUAAAGUUUUAAACUUAAUUUUAUAAUUAAGUGUAAACUUUAAUACUUGUUUUAAAUUUUAAAUUUCAACUAAAAUAUUCGAAUAAAUUUAAAAAAAAAAGUUUACAUUAAAAAAAUCAAUCGAUUAACUCUUUAUCAUCUAUGUUUUAUAAAAGUUACAAACAACGUAUCUCUAAAAGCAAAAAAACUAUUCAUACCUUAUAAUAAAAUAUCCUGCGUGUUUAUAGAAAGCCAGCUGUUUUUAAAUCUAUUUAUAUUUAAAGAAAGAUAAGAGCGUUUAUCUUAUGUUAUAAAAAAGACUGAUUUUUUCUCAUACAGACACAGUUAUUAAUAAAAUUAUUAAUAGAGUUUAGUUAUAGUUAAACACUUAGUAUAAAUGAUGUUUAAAUUUUAAAAUUUAACAUUUAAAUAUACAAUAUAAAAUAACUUUUUUAUAGAGUAUAAAAUUUAUAAUCAUCCAUUUUAACUCUAUUAAAAGUAUAUAAGUGAAAAUUUUUUUAUAUUAAUUUAUAAUAUAUACGCCUUCCAUAAUACAUUAACCUAUAAUAUAUCCACUGCCUAUAAUGCACACUCUUACUUUUAUAAAUUCUUUACGCUUAAAAUAAACACUAUUUUAUACUAUAAUACAACCAUCGCCAAUAAUCCUCUAUACUGUGUGUAUAUUUUUCACUUUAAACUAUGCAUGAUAGAUUCACUUUAAACUAUGCAUGAUAGAUUCCCGUUAAAUCCAUUUUUUUCACUGUCUAUGAAUUAAGCAGUCAGUAACUUAAUCUAGCUUACUGAUUCUUAAUUAUAUAAAAUACUAUUAAAUUUUUAUUUUAUUUUUAACAUGCCGACACUAAAUAAGUUAAUUUUAACUCACUUACUAUAAUAAUCAUACAUUAACUUUAAUAUAAUUAUCCCUUGCCAUAAAACCCUUUCUCCUUUUUUAAAUUUUAGUGCGAAAAUAUUCAUCAUAUCUGAUAGAUUAAAAUUGAAAUUAUAAGUUAGAAAAUCAAAAAAAAAAAUAAACUAUCAAAUUGAAGUUUUAAAUUUAAGCAGUAAAUAGAAAUGGAUAAAUCAAUUAAUCAUUCAAAGUAUACUAAAAAAGUUCAUACUUAAAUAAUUUUAUUCAUUAAUUGAAUUUAAAAUUUCAUUUUCAUAACAAAUUAACUAAGUUUAGUUUAUUUAACUUAUUAACCUAUCAUUUAAGGUUUAAAGCUUUCUAACCCACCGUUUAAAAUUUAUCAAAUAGUAAAUAUAUUCAAGACGUAUAAAAAUGGUUUUUAUUUAUUGUCGCCUCUAACUUGGAAGGUUAAGAAAACUAGAAUCACGUGGGUAAUAAACUCCCCUUGAAAUCCACGUUGAAGCUUCCUAAAUUGUCUAUUUAUAGUGAAACUGAUCUUUUUGUGUUAAUUUAGUGAGGAAUGAGUGUUCAGUGUUGGAUAAUGGUAGAUUAUUCAAUUACCAGUUUAUGGCUAGCAAAGAUAGCGUUCAUCAUUUUUCGAAUAAAUAUUAACUAUAGAUUCUAGGAUUUCAGAGUGGUAAAGUGUAAAAGACAAUUUAAGUAAAAAAAAAUUUUUUUUCCUUAACUUGCUUUAACUAUGGUACAAUAGUAAGAGAGUUUUAUCAAUUACGGAGUAAACAAAACGCACCUAUGGAACGAGUCAUAUUAAAAAAAUUUUAAAUAAGUUUUUUAAACACGUAAACUAAUUACUCCUUACAUUAGUUUACAAAUCUUAAUUUAUGAUACAAGCUAGUAAUGUAAUAAAAAAAUCUAUUUUAUUUAUUAGAGAAUCUAUUUUAUAUAAUAGUAUAGUUUAGUAUCUAUUAUUAUUAUCAACACUUCCACGUUUUUAGUUUAGGGAGCGUUGUCGAAGUCUUCGGUAAGAUACUUCGACGUUACGCUUUAGCUCUGAAAAGCCUUUCCAGACCUUUCACCUCCGCUCUUUCCUAACUCCAAAAGUAAGUAUUCACCCCAGUUCAUGUACCUGUUUAAACUCUUUAUUUUAUGAUAGGCGAAGUAAAUAAAUAAAUAAAUCUUUAUUUCAUUAAUCGACCUUUACACUUAGUUGAUCCUAAGCUUGAAGCCCGGAGCUUAUGAUUGGUAGUUCGAGAAACAGUGAACGCGAUCUCUGUCAGCUAAACUCAUCCUCAACUUAUGAGACCUUAAAACGCCCCUCUAGGCUACUAGGUACACUGCGGGUAGAUGCUUCCGCGGGUGACGAGAGGGUCGUAACCCUCUCGUCAUCCGAGACAACCCACACGUGGUAUAUACAACCCUCUCGUUAUCCGCAACAACUUGACUGGCAGGGAUCUCGUUCACCGUUUCCCGAACCACCAACUAUAGACUCUGAGUUCAAGCUUAGGAUCAACUAAGUGUAAAGAUCGAUUCAAAUAAAGAUUUUUUUUUUUUUUUUUUUUUUUUUUUUUUUUUUUUUUUUUUCCGCAACAACUCACGCGUGAUAUAUAUAUCAUGGGGACAACGAUGUCUCGCCGAGCUUCGUUAUCCGUCGGAGUUUACUUGUAACACUGUAUGGCUGGCAGGGAUUUCAUUCACCGUUUUCCGAACCACCAACCAUGAGCUCUGGGUUCAAGCUUAGGAUCAACUAAGUGUAAAGAUCGAUUCACAUAAAGAUUUACUUUAUUUGCUUCGCUCACACGAUGGAUAGAGAGUUUUUUUUUUUUUUUUUCUUAUAACACUCUAACGGAGAAGUCUCUUAAAAAUAUGAACAUCCUGUUCUCUGACCCCUUUAGUUUCAAUUAAUUCAGAUUCAAAAGCAAGAUUAGAGUUAUAUAAAGAGUUAUAGAAAUCGAAAUGUUAGUCAAUUCGAGAUUAUUCUGAUACAAACCAAGUUUCCUAUUUCCUUCUUAUUUUAUAAAUAAGGAGAAUAAGAAGGUUUGCCACAGUUUAUUGCGGUUCUUGAUAAUAAUAGAAGAAUUGCCCAAUAAGGCCUUAUUGGGCAAUUCUCCCCUCUAUCUUAUCAUCAAGGUGGAUAACCCACCUUGUUCAACAAGAGAUAGAAUAAGUAGAUGAUUAAUUUAAUAUUUAUUAAUAUUUAAUAUUAAUUAAUUACGUUAAUUUAAAAAAUUAUUAACUGAUUAAUUAAUAAAUUCAAUAUUUUAAUUAUUUAUAAAUUUAUUAUUAGAUAAAUAUUAAAUAAUAAUAAAUAGAUUAAUUUAUCAAUCGGUAUAUAAGUUAAUAAAUGAUUAUAAAUAUAAUAAAUUUAUUAAUCAUAAAAUUAAAUAUAUUAUUAAUUAUAUAAUUGAUUUUUUUAUUUACUAAUUUAUUAAUUAAUGAUAAUUGUACAGCUGAAUAAAAAAUAUCAAUAAAUGAUUAAUUACAGUAGAAACAGUAGAGUAUAUCAUUAAAAUUAAUUACAUAUUACAUUAAAACUAAUUAAAUAAAUAGUUGAAUAAUUUUAUAAUAAAUGAUUAUGAAUCCACGAAUUAUAAAUCUAUUUAAUCAAAAUAAAAGUUAGUAUUAAUGAGAAUAGAGAUGAUAAGGUUGGGUUAGUUGGUUUGCAUUAAAAAAAAUAAGGAGAUUUAUAGAGCUAAGAGCAGGUUUGUGUUUUAACUUGAUUAAGAAUAAAUAAGGUUUUUAAUAUGGAUAAGAUUCUUAUUUAUUUUUUAACCAACAAGAGCUUGGUUUGCCAUAGAUUCUGAGACAAAUCUACGCGUAGUAUUAUAGUACACAGUAGAAUAUUUUGUGCCAAAAACAUGUGUGUCAUGUGUAGGUAAACCCGAGAAAAAAGAAAAAGACGAAAUUUUUAUUCUUUAAUAAUUAAUGUCCGAUAAAUAAUAACUUUGUCAUCGGAGCAUAUCUACGAAAGCCUUUUCCUGGCAAAGCAAGGUUAUGGGGUGUUCGUGUCGCGUCUUCUUAUCUGGUAAGUCCAACGGAGUGUUAACUUACCAGGGCAUGUUUAGGUUAGGUAAGCAAAAACAAAAAAAACAAAAAACAAAAAAAAAACCGUGUCAAGAAUAUGGUUUACUAUUUCUAGUCUUUCCAACCAUAGGCUUCAGAGUUAAAGUGACAUAAUUUUUUUUUUUUUUUGUUUUUUUUUUCUUUGCAGUCUCUCAUCAUUCAAGAAUAUAUAAUACGAAACUUAGAAUUUUUACUUAACCUACACUUAGAAUUGAGAUCAUUUUAAUCUGAAAUUCGGAGGCAAACCAAGCCCCAAUUCUUUUUUUUAUCGAUAAAGUCCUUAUCUCAAUUCAAGUCCCAAUUUCACCCCAAUUUUAAAAAAACACAAACCAAUCCCUAACCUCAAUCAGAUCUUAUUAUUUUUUAUCACAAACCAACCUCAUCCACCCUAUUCUUCUAUUACUAACUAUUUCUUCCUAUUACUAACCAACCUCAUCCACACUAUUCUUUCUAUCACCCAAUAAUACUUAUCUUUUAUUACAAACCAACCUCAAACCACCCUAAUCCACCCCAAUCGAUUGGGGUGGUGGGCUCAAUCGAUUGAGGUUGGUAAAAAAACCUACAAACCCCUAUUUUACCCUCAAUUCCCCAAUAAGGUGGGGAAUUGGGGUUGGUUUGUUCCCGAUUCUAAUAUGGUUUUUCUGGCCGGCAGGGAUCUCGUUCACCGUUUCCCGAACCACCAACCAUGGGCUCUGGGUUCAAGCUUAGGAUCAACUAAGUGUAAAGGUCGAUUCAAAUAAAGAUUUAUUUUAUUUGCUUCGCCUAUCGCACGAUGGAUAGAAAGUUUUUUUUUUUAAUAUGGUUUUUCUAUUUUAUUAUCGUAACUACAAAAUUCUUUAAAUAAUCAAUAGCGCCUGAUUGGAAAUAAGCUUACUGUUCACCGUCUCGGAGUAACCGGGUGGUGAGUUGGAUGAAUAAAAUAAUAAUAUAUACGAAGGAGUACCUUCUAUAAAUUUGACUUUCUCGGUUUUUGGUAUCAACCUGCGAAGACUUUUUUGAAUUUAAUAAUCUUUUAUCACAAAAUCAUGAUUCGCAAACUAUCAAAAAAAAAACUCUGAAAACCUGUAUUAGGUUUGAAAUAUAAAUCUGAUUUACUAACCUUUGUCAAUUUGUUAAAAAAAAAAAAAACUCUGAAAACCUGUAUUAGGUUUAAAUAUAAAUCUGAUUUACUAACCUUUGUACAAUUUGCCCGAUCUCGAAACACUCAAGCUUAAGUCUUAGAAGACCAAAUUUAGCAGUCUAUUAUAUACAGAAUAAUACAAUAUUAUAAGUUAUAAAGAUUUCAAAAACAAUCAUACACAUUUUUACUAGUUUUCAAAAACGAAUCUGCAUCUAUACUCGGUAGUGUUAUCCUAUCACAAUUUAAUUUACUUUAUUAGUUAAUUUAACAUACCUUUGUUGGCAAAAAAUAUAUAAAAUAAAAAUUGGCCAUCGUUUUACAUGCCAAGUUUUAUUAAAAUCAGGAACAAAAAAAAUUUUGCAAUUCGUUCCCAGGACGUCAGGGACAACGAACACUCUCAAUCGUGAACCCCAUGUGAUUAUUGUUUCGCAUCUUCUUUUCUUUUCUAGCUAUAAUUUUUGGUGUUAUAAAGUGUUUUAAUGUCAUUAAAUUAAAUUAAUCCGAUCGAGAAUUCAUAGUAAUAGAGGUGGUUUGAGUUGGUUUUUAAUUCCGUUAAUUAAGGUCAUACUUUUCCUCGGUUCGUAACAAUUCAACAUUAAACCCAGAAUAUUAAUGUAAACGUGGAGAAAGUAAUUAAAUACGUAUUUAUAUAUAUCAUCUAUAAUCUCUUGAGUUUGUAGAAUUUUAUACUAGAGUUUCUUUAUAAGUAAAUCAACUUUUUUUUUCACUGAGUCGAGUUUAUUUUAUUAGGGAGAGACCAGUACACCCUGUACGGUUAAUGUGGACGUCAACGAUGUCCUUGUUUUUUUUUUUUUUUUCAGAGGUUAUCCUAUUUUCUAAGGAAGAACUAUUACGGUUUUAUUAAAUGAGUGUUUUUCUUUUUUAUUUUUUAAAUUAUAUUAUAAUUAAAUAAAAGAAAAUUUUUUUUAAUUAACGCCCGCUUCCUCACGUACACAUCGUGCGUUACCCUCCUUUCUAUUUCACAAAUUGUCUUAAGCUGUUCUAUUAAUUAUUAUUAUUAUUAUCACAAUUUGUUAUUAAUUAAUUAUUUUUUGGAAUUGGGUCAAGGAUUAAUUCACCUCGGGUAAAAGCUACCUAUUUUGGGAUAGAUAUAACACAGUGUGUGCUAGUUCACUCUCACUGGUUUGUGUAAAUAAUUAUAAACUAAUUUUUUUUACGUACCAUUUUACAUACCUCUGGGGGAAUUGAUAACAGAGAUAUCGGUUAUAACGUUACUGGGAGAGUUUAAAUCAACAAAAGCAACACCAACGAAGUUGAAACAAAAGAAAAAAAUUUUUUUUUAAUUACUAAUUAGAAACUUGCUAAAUGCGACUUUAUUACCUCACUAGAUCCUAAGUUUCGUCGACCUAACCUUAUGCUUACCUAACUUAGUAAGAGUAAACUAUCAACUUGCUUUUAACUUUAGAUUAAAAAUAUUUUGUUUGUCUUAAUAGCUUUAAUCACUUAGAGUAAAGCUAAAGUCGAGAUUUAAUCUACUUGGUUUAUGCAAGUUUUAAUAGUCAUAUUAUUUAAUAUCAUUGGUUUAAGUUUUGAAGAUUCUCAACUCCCACAGAUUCACGUAACAGUGGAUAUUAUUAUACGGAGUUUUUUUUUUUUUUUCUUUUUCUUUUUUUUCUAGUAGAUUAGAUUUAUGAUAUAAUAUCGUUAGUUGGUGGUUACGAUAUUUAUAUGUACAUCAGAAUCCUCGGUCCCCCUCGUCGUCCCAUCCCUCCUCAGCCGUUACAAAUAUCAUCUUAAGCCGUAAACCCAGUAAGGGAACUGGGAGUAAAACCGCGGCACGGCCGCUAAGCAGCGGGAGUAGCGGUACGAGGUCGUCGAGGUGGUUUCGUAGGAGGAGACGGGCGUCAAGGAGCUGAGCGGCCUCUAGAGCUGUGCGUAGCGCUCCGAGUUAAGGUACCGGAAACAAGACACUUUUUAGAGAGGAAAAGAAACUAGACAAAAAGCCGGCACAAUCCUUCCCAAUCUAUUCUAGUACAGAGGGCAUAACAACUGAACAUUAGAAUAACACAAAAGUUGUGUUAAAAUACACAGGAAUCACCACAUUUCGCGUUUAUUUAUUUCACCAGUUAUAGAACCUAACUUUAAACAAUUUAGGUUUAACGUUUUACCAAAAAAACAAAAAGAAUCAACGCAAGCCUACAUUUUUCCAAGAACCUUUAAAGUAAAAAGUGUAAAAUCUAGUCACACAUCAGGUUCUAGUUCUCUUAAUAUAUACCUCAACCAAGACGAAGUUUUAUAUAAACGUAAUGAAACAUAACAAAACUACCCUUUUUCGUUCGGAGUCAGUACCGAAAGUAAAAAAAAAAAAAAAGAAGAAAAAGAGACGACGAAGAGACGUAUCAACAAUAAAAUGAAAUAGGUAAGUUUUAUAGUUAUAAUAAAAAAACAAUUUUAGAGUAAUUAACAAAAAAAAAUUCAUCUUUAAAGUGUUAAGGUGAGAUCCUUAAGCUUUCAAGUAAAUAUAAAAAGCGAUAUCGUUGUCAAAAAUAGUCGGUUUGAGAAUUUGAAAAAAAAAGUAGUACAACGUUCUUUAUUAAAACAAGUAAUUUCUUUGCCGCAAAAAUGAUAAAUAUAAGUUGUAAAAAGGAAUGUAGAUUUAAGCUUUAAAAAAUUAUUCGCUGUCUGCCCCUUGCUUUACUUUACCCUCUUUUAAUUUGUUUCAAUCCUCGAAUAGUCUUAAGUUUAAAUUGAUAAUUAUAAGUUGAUCACAUUAAAUUUAUUAAUAUAAGUUUAGUAGAUUAGAUCUGCGUAUAAAAAAACCCACUUUAUUUUGAUUGUGAACUAACUUCUAGUGAUAUAGAAAGAAAAAAAAAUUUAUUAUAUAUUCGUCGAGAACAAUUUUCUAACAUACUUUUUCUUAAUUUAAAGGAAGCAAUUAAUCAUUAACGUUAGUAUUGGUAAAUAUUUAAAAAAAUAAAUAAAAGAAAACUUUUUUCUCCAACGUGAAUUUUACCGAGAAGUUCGUAUGCUUCCCCGCAUAAAAAGUUUGUUUACCGGGGCUUCUAUACAAGGUGUCGUUAAUAAUUUUAUUAUUUAACCCUUUUGAAAUUUUUUGGGGAAGCACCAAAGCGUGAAAAAGUAAAAUCAUAGUACACCAAAUUUUCACAUAGUUCAAUCAUAGGACACCCAAAAGUGAAACAGUGAAAUCAUAAGACACUAAAUUUCAUAUAGUUCAAUCAUAAGACACCAAAAUAAAAACAUAGUUCAAUCAUGGUACACUAAAAUAAAAACAUAGUUUAAUCAUGGUACACUAAAAAUUUGGUGUCCCAUGAUUCACUAUUUCACGCUUUGGUAUCCCAUGAUUUCACUAUUUCACUCUUUGGUGUCCCAUGAUUGAACUAUGUGAAAUUUAGUAUCCCAUGUUUUCACUUUUUCACAUUUUAGUGUCCUAUGAUUGAACUAUGUAAAAUUUUGUGUCCCAUGAUUUUACUAUUUUUCACUUUGAUGUUCUCCCAUAAACUUCAAAAAGGUUUAUUUAAACUCAUUUAACAACCAACUUAGGUGGUCUAUUCCUAACCAAAGACUUGUAGAAGUUGUUGGGUUCUAUAUAGUUUCCCUACAUCCCGGUACAACAUAAGACUGAAAAUCUUAUGUUGGCUCAAACUAAACAAAAAAAAAAAACUCUUUUAUUAUCGUGCGAUAAGCGAAAUAAAUAAAUCUUCUAUUUAAUUCGAUAUACUCACUGCGUUGUUCUGGAGUUACUACCACCUUUUGCUCAGCAUCUUUUUUUUUUUUUUAACCCAGAGAGAUGAUCUAUCCUGUGUAUCAAGACAUUGCUGCUAUGCUUGUUUCACGUAUAGUUUUUUUCCCUGUUUUCUAGCUCUAGAAUCGAGAAUUACUAACUAACUAUCUACAACCUUGGGUUACUUACUGAGGCUGAAUACACUCUAAUUUAGAUAGAGAGAUUAAUACACUUGUUUUUAAUUUAAUUGAUCUAUAUGCGUUGCUUGAGGAGUUAGUAAUGUACCAUUGUGACAAGAAGCCAAAAGAGAGAUAAUCACAGUAUAGAGAGUUUUAUGUAGAGAGAGUUUUAUAUCUUUUUUUUAUUUCUUCUUGUAUAUAAAGAUGCGAAUCUAUGUACAGUGUAACGAGCCACUCUCUAGCUCAACGUACAAAGUGAGUCUGGACUAAUGGACCAGGACUAGUUUAGGCUUGGGUUAGGUUCGAUUACAGGGGCACCCAGUACCGGGUUCAUAACCAGAGUACACGGGUGGUUUUACAGCUCGGCUCUUUUAGGCUAGAAUCUCCUACAAAGUACAAACCUAGCUGCAUUAACGUUAAGCGAGGAUUCAAGGAUUCAGUACAAAUUAUUCUUAUCUUUGCAAUUAGAAUAACGAUUGUUGCUAUUACAGUACGUCUAGACAAUGAAUCAGCACCGCACCAAAUGACUUUUCAUCGGAAAGGGAAAAUUCCAGCUUUAAAAUUUUAACUGAAUAUUAACUUAGAGUCAUUAUAGUUAGGUUUGUGGAGUAAUUUAUUUUGAUCAGAGCUAGACUAGGCUUGGGUUAGGUUUGGGCUGAAAGAGUAAAUUAUGAGGUUAAUUUAUAUACAUAAAAAUUAGUUUGGACAAUUAUCAACCACACAAAAAAAAGUGGGUCUUUUUGUACUACAGAUUUAAAUUAAAAGGAAAGAGUGUCUAGCUAAAAUAUUGUAAGGAAAAGAAAGAGGAACAAGUACUAUAAACGAUGUGCCAAACAUUUGUGCUAUCGACGCUUUAUAACUAGUGUAAAUUAACUGCUAGUUUAGUUGUUAAUAACCGAAUCGAAUCAUCAAAAAAAAAAAAAAAUACAAAAUGGUUUAACCUCCAGUCCCUAAGCUAAGAACAAACAAGAAAGUAUUUCGCCCAGAAUAAAAUAGUUUACAAAAUUUUGGAUCCAGCGCCAAAGCGAGGUUACCAAAUUGAUUAUUUACCAUUUGUUCACGUUAAGUCUAAAGAGAAAUAAAAAUAUAAAGUGAUCAGUGAUCUUUUAUACGUAGCUGUUUUUAGUUGUGAAAUUUAGAUAAAAAUUUUUAUAUAUUUUCUAUCAUUAUAAAUUUUUAUUAUAACUUAUUAAAUUAUAUCUUUAUUGUAAAUUUAUAAAUACUACGAUAUGGUUAUAGUAAGUUGAAUAACAAAGUUGAUAGCCAAAUUAAUCAUCACUAGAUACUAAACUGCUGUAAAAAAAUAAGUUUUUAUUACUAAAUAGGUAAAAAGUCUAUUAUUUUUAUAAAAUAUGGGUUUUUAUCAAAAAAAGAUUUUUUUCUGAAUUAUCACCUCAUUCCCUACCCUUAAUUUAAUUUUUUUUUAGCACAUAGGAUGUUUAUUUAUCACAAGGUCGCGCCGGUGCAAUUAGUGCAACUGGGCUUGGCCCUUAUUUGUUGAGGCGUUGGGCGUAAAUAAGGCCAUUGCUUGAAUAAAAUAGGGCCUGAGAAAAGCUAAUUAAGCGUACUUUCACAACUGGUGCAGUAGUCGGAGCGACAGGGAGCAAUAGAAUAAAAUAAUAUAUUAUAUUAAAAAAAAAAUUUUUUGGUUUUUUUCCACCAAGUGCACCAUCAUCAUCAUCAUUACCGCUUAGGAGAGUUUUGGGAGCGGGAAGCAGCAUCAAACACAAGCACAUGCAUCCCAACAAAGGAGCGUGGCAAGAGAAGCAAACAGCUUCCUCUGCUGCGAGACCCACCCCCCAGCGUAGCGAAGAAGAAGAAGAAGAAACUAAGCCGACCAAAGGCUUCGGCGAAGCGCUUCUUCGCUCCCAAACGCGCGAAGAACUCCCAAAGACUCUCGCUAAUUACCAUGACCUUUAACAAACGAUCCCAAAAAACACAAAAACAAAUCCCAAAGAUACAAGAAGCGCCUUAGCGUAAAAAUUAGCAUAAAACGUUUGGGAUUAUUCGCUAAGAAGAAUAAAAUGACACAACAAAAAAAAAAAAAAAAGAGAAUCUAUGACCCCUAAACUUUACACGAAGCUUAAAGGUUUAAAAAGGGGAGUUUUUUUCUAGUAAAAAACACCCCUAACCUCCUUUGAAAAGAAAAAGGCUGCGCUUUCCAAAGUGUAAAGGGGACACUUUCACACUUUGUGUGUAAAGAAAAACAAAACUUCGACAAAAGUCAAACUUGAAAGGGAACUUUGCUUUUCAUAAUAAUGAUCCAAUACUCUUAACAGAGUUAGAAAAGAAAUAAUAAUAAUAGGACUUCUUAUUCAUAGGGUUAGUCUCAAAAAGACUUUUGAUGGAGAAAAAAAUUUUAAAAAAGAUAAAGAUAUCGUUAACUUCCGGCUAAGCACUCGUAGUAGUAGUCAUAGAACGUAUCCUUCUCCCACUUCCAUACCUCUAGUUUCUUCAUUUCCUUCCCCAGCUUAGCAGCGGCAGAAGCAGAAAUUAACAACCUAACCGCCGGUUACCCUGCUUCUUGUCGUCUAAGUACCAAGCUACCCGAAACCUGUUGAAGUACGGGUUCCCCUCUCAAGAUAAGUUUGAAAAGGUACAAGCGGGCUUCUAAUUUUACCAAGGUUGUGGUACAUUCAAAAACAAUUCUUUAGACUUUAAAUUUACUACCAGCUAAGCAAAUUAACAACAAAUUAUAAAGGAUCAAGCAUUAGAAGCCAACAAGCGAUUAAUUACUCGAACAAGAUGUUCACCCACCAUCAGCUAAUAAGAUCAUUGCUAUACAACGUCCCCAUACACCCCUUUCGGGGGCAAAAAUCGUAGGGGAAAAUCUAUGAGUUUUUUAAUCUACCGUGACAAUUAGGUAUAAGCUUCUAGUACUAGAAUUGCAUCUAGUUAACGAGGCUUCUAGCAAGAGUUUAGAAUGUAGACUCGUGAAUAUUCACCUAAAAAUUCGACGUUCCGCCAUAGAAUCCCUUCAGCCAGCCACUUCUACUGCUUCUUGUUCAUCUAAGCCUCUAAAAAAAAAAAAACUCUUUACCCAUCGAACGAUGGCGAAGUAAAUAAACUUUCUACUUGAUUCGAUGUUUCACUCCGUUGACCCGGAGCAGCUUCGCUUUUUUUUCUUUUUUUUCUUUUUUUUCUCUUCUCAAUGUCCGUCUUUCUUAGGGUUUCCUGUGCUUCGCUCGCAUUCAAGCGAUCUUCGACUGAGUUCCACUAGUAAAAGUAAAGUUUCUAAGAAGACAAUGCGAGGUUGGUUUAUCUGGUGGUCCAACUUUGGGUUCCCUUACACAAAAAGUCACCUUUAUCUGGUGUUCAUCUAAGCCUCUAACUUUGGGUUCCCUUACACAAAAAGAAACGUGGCACCAGGAAUUUUUCUGCUGCCCUUUUAUUACUUCUAAGGUCACCUUUAAACAAAGUUUAAACCUCAGUUCACAGAUGAAAGCUUUUUUCAUUAGUUUGGUUAUAUGGAAAACUAAAGGAAGAUAACUAACGGGACACAGAAAAACACUACAAAAGGUGAGCCUAAAUUUGGAACUAGCAGAAUAAGAGUUAAAAUUAAGAGUCCCUCACAAGUAGACCAUCUUGUAAAAUGUAGUGUACAAAGAGUUAGGAUGAAUCAAUCAUUAUCAUUAUGAGAGUCUUGUGACUAUAAAAGGAAAGAUACGAUAUCACCCUUUAAUAUAAGGAUAACUAGUUCACGCCCCACUACAACGGCGGCGUAUAUUCUUCCUGCAUCUCACCGUUUGUCUUCUUUACGAAGAUGAGAUAUUCUUCUACAAAUUACUUUUUUUCCAAUUCUCAACAACUAGAGUUUCCGAAGGGACCACGGGCUAUCUUGUCAACUUAUUGUCUUGAACGUAAACUGUACGACACGUCCGGCUUCGUCUUUAAAACUAUUAACUCCGUCUACUACAUCGUCUCCGUUAUAGUUUUCUCCAGAGUUCUAUGUUUCAGUCGUUAGAGCAUCAUCCGCGGAGGAGGCCUUUACCAUAAUAAUCCAUAAUGUUACAAAACUGAUAUGAAAACCUACAAUUUCUUAUUUUCAUUUUUUCUUUUCUUUGAUAACUUAGUUAGUGGGAACACAACCUUUCACUUAUAAUCUCCUCAAACAAAGUUUGGGAGUAUUUAGGACGAAUCAUUUUGUGAUCAUAACCGUUGCAUCAUAAUAAGUUAGGCUUUAAAGACGAUAAAAGUGUAUUUUGAGUAUAUCUGACCUGUUAAAUUAUCGUUAUUAUAGUUCUUCCGGUUCGUCCGGAACACGACGACCUGGGAGAAUGACGAAUCCGCGUAAAUGUACUUGAUAGAUUAGAUUACGAAAAGCAGACAAUGAUUUUCGUAUGGCCGAAAAAAGACACUGUUACACUUACGUACGAAAGCAUAGCUAACAACCAGUAUAAGACCAUACUAAACCUUGACUUGGCUACUUAAUAACUAUUACUUUUUAUUCUUUUUGAACAUCCUCUGAAUGCCCGCCGUUCGACAGAAGGUCUUAGUAGUUUACGUAAGGCUCGAAGACAUGUCACAUGUAACAAAGUCUACCGGCUAAUAGUAGGCAAGUAAGAGGACCUAGUUGUUGUCUAAGCUCGCGGCAAUGUAGUCCUUCACUUCUCUCGAAAUUUCUACUCUUACUAAGUUGAUUGCGAAGAUCGUUGAGUAACUUUCAUUUUAAACCAUUUCACGAACGAUUCAUCGUAACAACCAUACACGAGACAUAAAAGAUAAUAGACCCACAACACAAGUACUAUUAAACAAAAAGAAAAGGUCUGUACAUGUAAUUGAACUUUCGUUAAAGGAGGGAGGAGGCGCGAGGAAAUGUUGGUUCAGUUUUUUUGGUUGGAAAAAGGUUGCCUCUGGGAUCCUCUAGGUCAACACUACUGUGGGUGCCAUCGUAACAAGGAAACCCUUCACUACCGCUACUACAACAAAGGCCUAGUUCGUAUAACGUUGCUUGUUAAGCCUCUUUGGAACGAAAAAUGUUUCCUUUGGCGUUGUCUAGGCCCCCUUGACUGUGGAGGUUGUGAUUUGUAAAGAGUGGUUCGUGUUUACUUGUAACAAGCUCACGGUCAAGAUUGCCUAGCCUUCGCGUCCUGUCAACAUCACGUUCACCAUCACUGUUUCCGAGAUCUUGAAGUACAUUGAGUCUAGCACAUAGAAGUCGCCUGUCGAGUGUUCUAAGAAGCGAAAACCUCUUACUCCAUUUCUAAGAGUGAGGAAUUUUUUUUUGAAAACACCCAGAUAACAUCAACGUUUUUGAAAACACCCAGAUAACAUCAACGGUCAAAGAAGAAUGUUGACUUCAAAGAUACUUCCAACUAUAACUAAAACUCGAGCUUUCUGAUUCCUGACUUUAGUCCGUAGAAUCUCCUCACAUGUUUGAACGGCUCCUACUCAGUCAGCCACGAAAUUUCGUCCAUUGAAAUUCAAGACACCAUAAAUAAAAGUUUUCUUGAAUUAAGAGCCGCAGAUAGACGAAUUAAAUCUCAGAACGAACACAAUCUAGUUACUUAAUCGUCGCGUUGUGUACCUCCUUCUCCAGUUUGAGUCUCUAUAUUUGAAGUCUCAUCUCUUCCGACUUCUUUAGCGCGUCGUUCUCUUCCUUUUUGCAUUUCGGCGUCUUUAACUCCGCCUUAUACACUCUGUCAAGCGGCUAGUUCUUCGAAGUUCCUCCUUUCCGAAUCUUCUAUACCGAAGUUUGUUUCGUUCACUUUUCCUCACCGACUUUUUUAGGGAGCUUGUACGCAUGAACUUCAAGUGUACCCUUCUUUAUCGUAGACGAUGUCGUAGUAAGAGGCUAAGAAAAUUUUAGCCACAACCUAGAUUGCCUUGUCAAAUGUUCCCAUGCAAGGCAGUGUGCCAACAUCGACACUUUCAAGAAGUGAGAUUGCUCCCUCGCUCCUACUUCGUCAAAUUGGUUCUCCACACACAAACUGAGAAAAGUGUUAAAGAUUCCUCAUUAUCGUGACUGUGUGAACUUGAGUUGAGAGUACGAAAACCUUUGUCCGAGGAUUUUGAGGACUAUAAAACUCUCUAUGGGGAAAAAGACUGUUGUUAGAUAAUAAAAGCGUCGAGCUAUAAGAACCGUCUUAGGCAGUGGGGGUAAACGACGACGACGAACCACGGACGGGACUUGGCCCGACGAAUCACAUGCUUAUGUACCUCUUGCCAUCGGAACUGCUGGCUGAUGUUACAGUUCCACUGUGCGGAGGCUAAGGUACCAAGACGGCGAAGUCUUAGCGCACCCUCCAGCGGAGGCGGGAAGAUAAAGAAGUAUCAUGUUCUGGACUUGGGUAGUAAGUAGCACUGGACUUCGGGCGGUUAUAGAACGAGCUGUUUUUAAAGCAGUCGUUCUAACCGCUGCACCCGGAGAGCUGAAAUGAGGGGGUGUUCUCAAGUAGAGAGAGAUGCCAAAUAUUUCUGUGACGGGGGCAGCCGUGUAAGAAAAUGUACCUAGGGCUCAUGGUCUCCAGACCAAAUCACAGCUGUUUCAGGCUAUAAAUACCGAAUCCUUACCACUAAAACGUCGACGACUGACGCUUUAGCGGUUACCCGGAAUGUAUGUAAUAACUUUUGCGUUAGCCUCUCCUCCCUACAAAUUCUCUGUAGAACCUGGGGGCUCGUCCCUUGACCGGAUGGCUUCUCCGAUUCCUUAACCGAGCUGAGCCUGACUCAACAAAUCUCAACUCCGCUUUCCUAGCUGGACUGGACCCGUCGGUUUAAGAAGGAGAUGAUCUCUUUGACUUUCUGUGGCGCCUUUUCCGAGCACAGAGCUGUGUUUAGCGAGGUUGACAUGGAGGCUCAAUAAAAGAAACAGGUUAAGAUUUACACACACAGAUCGGACGAAAAGAAAAUAGAGAAAAAGCGGAAGAUUUCAACCGAUCAUACAACACUGAGUGACGAUAAACAAGUGUCUCCCAUUACCUACUAGGCACGUAACGAAGACUACCUAUAUGUAUGCUAGCUCUGCGCUAGCUCUUUACCAACAGUUUCUUACCGUUAAGCGGCUACUGGUUACACGGCGACGGAUUGUUCCUUGACUAAGGAUUAGUUAGUGAAGAGAGUCGUUAGUUUACGACCUUUAGAUCCUCGUCGACUUAAAUUCGAAAUCAAACAAUGAAGGAGAGAAACAUGUCCCAACAAAAAAGAAGGAAAAACAUCACAUCUAUAUCUAUAUCUAUCUAUAAGGAUUAGAGUAUUAUUGUACGAAUCCUAUUUAAAUAAUCCACCUUAUACGACACAUAGAAUUGAGAAACAUAUAAUAUAAGAAGUAAAUUAAAAUUCCUUUCAAAUCGUCUGUGUGACUACCCGGAAUACACCAACAUAUUAAUUCAAUAGUUAAUACAUAAUAUAGGAUUAUCUCCUCUCCCCGACAAGAGAUACGAUAAAGUAAAAUAAAAUUGGUCAAGAUGAUUAGUAGGUUGACUAGGUUGGUCCAUGGUAUGUGUUAGGUGCAGUGAGUGAGAUUCAAAAACUAGUAAAAGAAUAAAUAAUAAUUAAUUCGUCGAUACUACCUGAAUCCGGAGGAGAAUUGGAAAAGUGCAUCGUUAUUAACCGUGUCACGUUAAUGACGAUUCCCGUAAAACCCUUGUUUCCCUAAGUUACUAAAAAAUAAUUAAUACUACUCUGUAUAUACUUAAAUUUUGUUUUAUUAAAAUAAUUAAUUUCUACGGUUGAGUCCUUAUAUAAGUUUUAUAAGAUAAAAAAAAUCUUUUAUCACUUUCAUUUUCCUGUUAAAAUAGUGCCAUAAGAUUAAAUAGCGCUCCUUAGUAAAAAUAUAUGUAAAUAAAUAUUUAAUAUUAAAAAAAUAAUUUAAAAAAUUUUUUUUAAAUUCAUAAUUUUUCAUAAGUUAUUUAAUAAUCUGACUGUCAUCUAGUUCGAGGGAGGAGUUUAAAAUAGGCCAUCACCCGCCCGGUGCAAAAGAGGCGGCGCCACAAGGGUGCACGGCGACGUCCUCGGGAGCCAAACGCACUCGAGAGAGAGAGAGAGAGAGAGAGAGAGAGGCGCUCUGUAAUGGUAAUUGCCUCGAUUAAUUCAGGUGGUGCAAUAAGGAUUACAAAAGAACACGUAGGCAUGACCUCAAAAUACAAUAUAAUUUAAGUUUUCAAACAUUUCAGAGAAAUCUUUUUUUUAAACUAUUACUGUUCAUUUAUAUCCGAUGCACUCCAGAUUUUACAUUCAAAAUCUGUACAUCACAUUUACAUAUCUAUCAUAACGAUUUUUUUUAUUAAUGUUUCUGAAAACAGAAAAUGUUUAUUUUUUAUGUUAUAUAUGUAAUAUAAAGUACUACAUAUAUAUAUAUAUAUAAUGUAUAAUAAUAUACCCAAUGAACAUUUUUAAUGUUCAGAGGGUAGAAGUGUCCACAAAAACUUUUUAUUAUCUUCGAGUAUUCCAGGAGAAAUGUUGUUUUGUAUUUAAUUAAUUAAUUAAUUAAUCAUUAAUUAAUCCGCAAUGAACCGCAAUAUGAUCAUAUGGUUUACAAGGCUAGUCUAAUUUCACGUUUACCUACUACGCUACUACCCAUUACUACUACACUUACUUACUAUUUCCCUACCCCCGAGUACUGCGUAUUUCGUAAACGAACAUGUCACUUCCUGUGUUACUACACCGCUCGUACGUUUACGUUUACUUACGUACGUACGUACGUACUACCCACCUCCCCACAGUGCCCACAAGUAGUAUGUAUGUAAGUUGUAAUUUGCCGCAAUUAUAUAUUUCCGUUACUACCCGUACCUAACUAAGUACGGUACGUGGCGCUAAUACUCAAUGGGUUCGGCAUGGGGCGUUUCGCACUUUGACGCAAAGAGGUUCAGUUACCAGUUGCCCUCAACGCAACCCCUGCAAAUUACCUAUUCGUAUGCGAGACACGGUUUCAUACUAACUUCACACCCCCUUGCGUCUCGUGCGUGAAGGUUUUAAAGCAGGGGUAGAGCAGAGGAAGUUUAAUUAAGCUAGGGUUUUCUUCUUCGUUGCUAGUGUGAGAUUGGGAUUGGGAUUGGGGAUUAGCAUCGCCUCCUCUUCUUCCCCCUCUCCUUUCUCUGCUACCACCACCACCUCCUCCUAGAUCCCGAAUGGGAGCCGAACUCUAGUGGCUGCUUUGUGCGGGGAGAAGCCGAGCUAGAUUACCAAAGAAGAGGAAGAAGAAGCGGAAAGGGCGCCACCUCGCUAGAGGAGAGAAGGUGAAGUCCAUGUGAAGCUAGAGUUUUCGAAGGCUAGCUAGGGCGCUCUAGCUAGACUCACCUACACCAAACUCAAAAAACCCACCACACUAUCCCUCCUCUAGCAGCCUCUGCGGCGACGCCUCCCCCUAGCUGCACUUAGCCCGAGGCCUCCGCCUCUCCCUUUCACUUCUCCUCCUCCUCCUCCUCCUUCUCCUUCUUCUGCUCCUCCCCCCUCGACGAAGAGGGUUGUCGUGCGACAGCUCGAACUCGCCCUUUGCGCUCCGCCUCUCCCGCUCGCUGCUCCUCCUCCCGCCCCUGCCGAGGGCGUUCUUCGAGGCAGAGAGAUACUUGGUUAGUCGCUAGGAGCUCCUCUUGAAAUUUCUCGUGUCGUGGGAGCUCGGGCAUUCUAAAAAGUACAGAAUUGUUAAUUAAGGUGUCGAUCGAUUAAACCCUUUUCACUAAUUUUAAAGCACAGAAAAAAAAAGAAAAAAAAAAGAAAGAAAGGGCGUCUUCGCCUUCCACCGCGACCGCUUCGUCGAAUUAGACGCCGGCUCCGUCCACCUCCACACCAAAGUCUUGUCCUCUCGUUCCAUUAUUAAUUGUAGGUUUCAAAUUUGGACUUACGCCAAACGAUCUUUACGUACAUACUUAGAUUCCUGUAUCCCUAUACGAAGAUUACAAAAAGCCACCUUGGCGUCUUUAUAUAGCAUUGGCUGAGUAGUAUCACUAUACGCUUUGCGUUAUAAUACAUGCUUUUAUUUGUCUUAUAAAAAUAUACAUAAAAGAGUGGCGUGCCUUACGUUAAAAAAGUGUUAGGAAUCGCUUCGAACUCUUACAUAAAGUCCUGCUUCGACUUCGUCUGCCUCCACCUAACGCUCCACGACUCCUCCACGACGCUCCUCAACUGCCUUCUCUUGUCCUCCGACGUCUUCCUCCACGUCCUCGACGCCCGUGACUUCGACGACAGCGGCGACAAGACGCGCGUGCGGUGGGGAGGGUGGUGGGAGUGGUACACGGGAAGGACGCUCGCGCAGAGGUUGCGGUUCCGGAGCCUGGCUGCGUCGGCGGCGGGCCGGGGCCGGCGACGACGUCCGCGAGCCGGUGUCCGGGGCACCCAAGGCUAGGGCGAGGCCGGCUGCGCGGAGGUACGAGUCGACGUCGAAAUGGCUACUAGCUAGUUAACGCCACUAGCACCUAGCCCCUCUACGAACUAGUACUAGCACUACCACCACCACAAUUCUACCCCUGGUUACAGACUUUUACCACUUACUCUUCUGUGUUAUUAUUAUGUACGUUUAAACCUUUAUAGGAGUUCUACGGACUAAUCGGUGUUGUGGUGGUGGUGGACGUAGACUGAAACCUUAGACGUCGCAGUCCUUAGAUCUCGAAGUCUGCGCCAAAAAAGGAGGAACUAAAAAGGUAGUCUUUAUAUUAUAUAUACGUGGGGAAAAUUACUUUUUUUAUUUUUAUUUUAUUUUAUCGAAAGAUUAACCUGUAACAAACAUAUGGUAUGAGACAUGUCUAGCUGUCGUUGUAUGUAGAAAGGAUCCAUUUUUUUUAUAUAUUUAGUUUCUUAUUUAGUUUUUCAGUUUCGCUUCCAGUUGUGAGUGCUCGGUUUGAAGAUGUUAACUUUUGAUUUGAUUCUACGUUUAUUUUAAUUCGUAUGGUGCUCGUUUAAGUGUUGAUUGGUUAAUUGAUAUAAUCCAUAUAUUUUGAUUCUCUUUUAUCAUGAUAUUUUACUACUAUUAAUGUAAGAUGGAUUCAUUUAGGCCGAUCUUUUAGGACGAGCUGGUUGUUUCUUAGACGAAAAUAAGAGUGCGACCACUCAUCACGGAGAUUGCGCCUGAACUUGACGUUAUCCAAAAAGUUGCUCUCUAAAAGGUGCCUUGACAAGGUGGUUUUCACAAACGAGAGGCAGUUACGUGAUGAGUUUGAUAAGGUUGAUAGGAGCGGCAGAAGGCGAGAGAGGAAGCAAAGGGAGCUGUGCAGAAAGACAACUCGUGAGAGGCGGCUAAGUGAGCUAUGAAAAAGUCAGACAAGGACAAGAAAUGUUAGAAGUCCGCGAAACUAAUUUGAAAGACACCGAAACGACGAAGGACGCGGCAGACAACGUAGCCUUAACACGUUCUUGGCAAGCUGCUGGAGGAGCUGAAAUCCCGACGGCAUGCGUUUCCGUAACGGCGAAAGCCACUUCCGGUUUUGUCGCUAGACCUUAGGGGCCGCCCGCUCAACCAAGCGGAAGAACUUUUCCGGGCGAGCGGCGAAGCUCUUCGUAUACUUAGAUAACACGAACAGCUACUAGCCGAGCUAGAACUAGAAGGCUGCAGGGUACAGAGUCUAAUGUUACAUACAUAUACAUAUAUACAUUCCAUACAUACAUGUGUCCUUUUGGUUUUCUUUUUUUCUCCCCUUUUUUUUUUUUCUUUUUUUCUCAUUGCACUUCGAUAUCAACCCCAUUCAGGUAUUUGAAUCAACCAUAAAUAUCUCCCACGCCGUUAAAGCUCUAUUUCAGCUUCUCCCUUUCUAUAACAAUUAAUCUCUAAUUCUAUAUCAUUUCCUUUCUAUGCAAAUCUUCGAUUCGAAAUUUCCGUAUAUAAAAAAAAUCUUCCUAUACAAACCUAUUAAACCGAUUGCAUGAAAAAAAAAAAAACCUACAUUUACACUUUUAAGCAGGUAACUUAGUUAUCCCUAUUAUUUGUUCAUUAAAUUGUAUAUUUGUCCAAUCCAAUCGGGCAAUGUAACCAUGCGUUAAACUUUUGAUGCUUCCGUUUUUAAAUUCCUACGGGGAGUUGAAUAUCGGCUUAGAUUUUAUUAGGGGAUUGAUAAGUAGAAAACGUGAUUUUAAAAGUACAUCUAAAUAUUGAAGGAUCCUUUAAAGUUUUAUCAAAGGUUAAAAAAAAAAAAAUAUUCAAAGUUUCGGAAUUACCUAAAAAAGACAAAGGAGGAUUUUCAAGUACUGAUCAUAGAGACUCCCUAUAGAUUCUUAUAAAGUAUGAAAAAAAAAAAUGAAAAUAGAGGUAAAAGCAGUUAAAUAUUUAACAUCUGUAGUUUGGGGAGAGAAUUAAAUAGCGAGAGAAUAGGGAAGGACUAAGAUGAGAAAUAAGAAUUUUAGAAUAUACGAAUAGUUUAAAUUUCUAUCCUGAAACGAUUUCUCUAUUUUUAGUUUUAAACAUCAUUCUAUAUGAAUCUAAAAUAACUUUUUUUUCUCUGCUUUUAUUACAAGAUGUCUCUGAAAAUAUUAAGCUUUAAGUUUUAAAUGUUUGAAUAUAUUUAGUCCAUUUAUAUUAUUUUGUUAAACUGGAAAAUGAGUAAAUGUUUAUCAGCAGAUUGAAUUUAUAAACCGUAAGUUUGAAAGUUUAACAAGAUUAAUUGACAGACUCUAAAAAUAACCGUAUCAACCUCACAAACUAAAAAAAAAAAAAUUUAUGAGAAUCACUAAUUUGAAUGGUAAUGAUAAUAUAAGUUAAAAGUUUUUAGUUUAUGAUUUCUAAGUUUUAAAAGUAACUUUCUAACUUAUCAUAAUUUUCCGUCUCUUGCAAAAAAGAAAGUGAUUUAAUAUAAGCUAAAAUUACAAUUUAAUUAAGAAUUUCUAUUUCAAUUAUCAUAAUUUCAUUAGAAGAAUUUUCUAUACUCAAAAUAUAGGAGAUAAAAUGUUGACAAAUAUUUUGAACGUAGUCUGUAAACUGAUCUAAACUAAAGUUAGACCCGAUUGCUCAUCUCUAAUCUAAAUAAAUUUUAGUUUGAGCCUAAUUCUUCAGAUCAGCUUGACAUUGUUUUAUAUAUAAAUGUAAUCUCAACUUUAUUUGGAAGCCUCAGUAGUAACUUUUCCGAACAUUGCGUACUCGUCCUUUAUAGUCCAAGACUGCUAUAAAAGUUAGUUAGUAUCAUGAUAAGUUUGAGUCUCUUAACUUUUAUUCAUCAGUUUUUCCCAUUUAAAAAUCCCGCUAAAAAAAAAAGUCAAAAUUUAUGAGGUUUAGAAGAAUGAAAAAUAAAGAAGGCUCUCUUGUGCUUCAAAAGAUAUCGGGUUAGGGUACCAGUUUGGUGUAUAUGUUGUACUAUAGACCAUCUCUUUACCUUUAAAAGUUUAUGUAUAAGUGCUUAGAGUUGAUAAGUCUUGUGUAGUUGGUUUUAAUUCUUUUAAAGGUACGAGCGUUUCUUAGUUACGAUGUAGUCCACCACAUUCUAAUACAGUUUUCAUCAAAGUUCAAAACUUUUGAUUAUUAGUAUAAUUUCUUCUCACUUACCUCCCACGUAAGUCUAUGUACAAGUAAGUAUUGUAAGCGAUACGGUCUCUCUAACAGUGCGUGCGACCUAGUAAAGCUCAUCUUAUUAUUGUGGCUUUAAAGGGAGGGUUCUCAUGUUCGUAGCCUAGGUAAUUUUUGCGUCAAAAUAAAAGCUUUAAUGGUUGAAUUGCGUAAUAGACCGUACGAGACUACGACUGAGGUACGUUCUCUUUAUCUAUCCAAACAUUGAUUAGGAUUCCCGUACAUUCCAUUUUGAUUAGGAAAAUUGAGUUAAUUUUCUACAUCAAUCCUUAGAAUGAAUUGACCAAAGAUGUAUUGUGUUUACGAGGACUUCCACGCUGCUUCGAAAUCUGUCACAAAUGCCACAGGCGCUCCCUCGCUUCAUAUGUAGGGUUAGGUCGCGCGAGACAUUCGAAAAGUACUUAAGACUCCGUAACCAGCGUACAACCAGCUAGAGGUCAACGGUUGGGAGAUAUGUUCAUGGAACUGGUAUAAGGCUUACUUUUUUGUGUGUAGUCUUCGAGUGAGGUAUGUAUAGAUUAGGUUGUUCUUUUAAAAAGGCAGAGAAGCCUCUGUAGGCUACUUUUUGGUUUUCCCAUGAAAAGAACUUGUUACGACUAUUUUACUGCACUUUUUUAAACUAAUUUUUAUUUAUAGUGCGUUUCCUCUCAUUAUCAUUCUAGGAGAUCUGGUUCUGUUCUGUCUCCAUCUAUGUUCCUCCUUUCUUUUUUACCGUCAAGAACUAUCUACUGUUACUUAUUUUUGUUCAGGAUGUCAGGCGAAUCGUUCAGAUGCGAUUGCACCACUCAUUACAUGAUUUUUUAGUAUUGAGAGUGUGUCCCUUUUAAACCUUAAAAAAACACGCCUUUCCGUAUCUCAAAGACGACCAAACGUCGUUAUGUACGAGUCUUGAUGGUUGACAUUACAAGGAACCCAACAAUAAACGUGUUUGUUAAGAAGAUGGAAAGUUUCAUUGUUUCUAACCUGUAUUGCUCCUGUCUUAAUUUGGAGUUUUACUUAGUGUUAAAAGGAUGUUUUUCUUCAUGUAUCUGCGUAUUAACAACUUUUUCCUAUCAUGGUUUAAAUAUUGUGUAUUAUCACUUCUUUUUGUUACAAGAAGUUUUUUCUUCCCUUAAUUAAGGUUAACGUGAUACUUUGGAAGUCGGUUUCUAGGUCUACUAUUUUUAGACAAUGUACCCCGACUUGUUUCAUUCUACUUGAGUUCAUAGUCAUGAGAAAUCCACGAGUCGGACUGUUUGCAAGGUGUCACAGCUAAUCUAGGAUUCAGAGUCUGCGAUCCUGAACAAACACUUCACGUAUUUGUCCAGCGGGUUUGGGUCCAGGGUUUGACAUAGUUCACUUUUUAACCCUCACCUCGUUUAUGAUGAAUGUUUAUCUUGAUUCCUGCUUUAAAUUAAAGGUUUUCUGCUAUUGUUUCUUAGUGGUUUUUCAGAGAAAAGAGUCUUUUACUUGAGGAGAAGAUAUAGACAACGUGAUUACAGUUUGGUCUCUAUAUUUGUUAACGUGUCCAUAAGAUAUCUAGAUAAAAAUUAGGAUAGAAAAGUUGGUUACAGUAAUUCUGUUUUAACGACGUUGUUAUUCGGUUUUCUACGUCGUCAACUUAGACUAAACUUGGAUUAAGGGAUUUAAUGUGGCUUUAAUAGUUUGUUUUCUGUGGUUGUUCAGAGAGGAAGGCCUAGUAUAAGAUUAAAUGGCUUAGUUAUAGUGGUCAACGCUUUUUUUUUCUUUUCUUCAAUUUCAUCUUUAACGUGAAGGUUGGUCGUUUUGUUAGCUGUUACGUCAAGAUUUAUCGGGUUUUUAGUUUAUUUAUUGUUCUUUUAUCCUUCGUUUUUCCUUUUCUCAUAGAGUGAAGUACUCCUACAGUAUCAUGAGCCCUAGGUUGCUUCUCUUGUAACGUAGAUGUAGGAAAUAGCGGUAGUAGCGAGCUACGUGGUGAUAGGUUAAGCGGCUGAUGUAGUUCUUGUUCUUAAUUAGCGGUAAAAGCGUAUGUUGCGUGUUCUUUAGUAUGGGGGUUUUAACUAAUUUUCUUUUUUUUCCGUGUUUACCCUAAGCAUAGCUUGCUUGGAACGUGGAGAGCAGGGCCCAGAAUUCUCCCCUAGGGAGCUCUCGGCAAAAGUCCCGGAGGUGGCCAAACCUAGACCAUCCCAAGGCCUAGUUUUAAUCCCAAUCACUACUCUCUAGCCUUGCUCCUCGAUCCCAAAACGCUAGCUCUGAGUGACAAACUCGUUCGAAAGCUAGAAAGCGCUGAAAACGAGCUAGGAGCACUACUACCGAAGCUCUAAGAGGUGGAGGUCUUUGGGAAGGAGGCGGUAGCGGCGGCGGCGGCGGCGCCUAGCGAGCGAGCGAGCGGCUGCUGCUGCCACCCUCCAGUUUUGAAUCCUCCCCUAAAUAGGCGUUAUGCCCUGGAAAUUCUAAGCACUUGCACCUUCGUAACCGGGUUAAGUCUAUCCGGGUAUUUCUGUAAGCUGAAAAAAAAAAAAAAAAAAAAAAUGGGGAAGUUAUCUUUUGUAAGUACAUUAUAAGAUAAAUCGCUAUUAACGGAUAUAUGGGGAGUUAUAAAAUUUUUAUAAAAUAAAUAUAAAAAAAAAAAGGUUUAAAUAGGCGAUAAGGUUUUAUGGGGAUAUCGAUAGUAGUAAUUCAAUUGAAAUCAAUUUGUAUUCAAUUUAUAGUUGAUCUCAAAUUUUUUUUAGUUUUAUUAAGAAAAUGGAACUUGAAUACCCGUUUAUUUUUUAUAAUUACUAUUAUCUUACCAUGUAAAUUUUUCCGGUUUUUAAUUUUAUGAAAAAUACAGGGCUUGAAUUCUCGUUUAUUUUUUUUUUACUUUUAUCUUUUUCUUAUAUAAAUUUUUCUAUUUUAUCAUUAAAAUAUUAUCAUAAAUUGAGAUUUUUAUAUAAACUUUAUUUAAUCUUGCAUUUUAUUCAUAAAAGUUAUUAUUGGAAAAUUCUUCCUAUUUAAUCUUUCAAUUUUUGAAAAGUCGCCAUAUAUUUGUUAACGGGAGAAAUAAAUAAUGAGUACAAAAAGUAAUGUUUCGUGAAUCCAUAAAUUUGAGCACAAUCAAAACUUGAAAACUAAAUUGUCAAGCGUUUAAAUCCUUUUAUAGAGUGUUGAUAUUAAUGUGUCUCGUACUGCUUGCCUUGAGAUUUUGUUAAAGUAAGAAAAAAAAAAAUGAAAAGUAUAUGAAGCUUGACUAAAAAUUAGAUGUUCGUAAACAGGUUGUUUCACUUCGUAUGUGGCCACUAGUUUCGUGUUCAGUUUUUCGUAAGGUUUCCUUCUUCUCUGUAAUAUUCUAAGCUCUGGCCUCCCAGAACACGUUGUUACUCGGGAGAGGUCACGUUAGAGUGGGAAGUGUGGUUGGGGAUUAAGGACUAAUCUUACCUUUGUUGACGUUGAGCAUGUUAAUUAGAGAUGAUUUACGAGUUAAGGUUACUUAAACCACACAAACAAACUACUUCAUUUAAAUAAAGAAGAGCUAAAAAAAGUUUUUAUUUCUUUAAAGGUAUGUGAAAGAAGCGGGACAGGCCAGUAUACAAACGAAGGGAAAAGGUACCGUGUGAGUUCCGAGUGAAGUGCCCGAAGAGUACCAAGCCGCAGGCCAGAGGGUUACUCCAUUUGUACUUCAACGGUCUCUUAUGACGAAGGAAUAGACAAAUACUAUAACGGGUCUCAGUCAUAUAGCAGUCAUGUUCAUUUUUCACAAUCAGGAGGAGGCUUCUUUUCGUCAAAUGGGCAGUUACUUUCCGUCCAUCUAAGAGACGCUCAUAUGGAUCGGUAUCGGAUGUUUCCCCUUAUCGUAAUUAAAAUAUUCCGUUUCGCAUUUGAAUACCGUAAGUGCAGAAGCUCUAGCCUAUGUGGUUUUCUACCUUUCGGGUAUCAUAUCGUAAAAUAUAUACCUUUCUCUAGCUCAAUGUGUUUAUUCCUCGUACGGACCUGUCGCCGUCGUCGUCGUCGUAAACAUAAAAGACUUGGUAGGAGUCUCUUUUAUAAGGACUUUAUGUUGGUUUAAGUAGUAUUUAUAUUAUCGUUGUAUAUAAGGUACCAUGGCUGGAAGAGAUCUCGUUCACCGCUUCCCGAAUCACCAACCAUGGGCUCCAGGGUUCAAGCUUAGGAUCAAUUAAAUGUAAAAGUUGAUUUAAAUAAAGAUUUACUUUAUUUGCUUUGCCCAUCGCACGAUAGAUAGAGAAUAAGUAGUAUUUAAGUUUUCGUUGUAUAUAAGGUACCAAAAGACUCUUUUUCAUAUAUAAGGUAUCGUGUCUGUAACGGUCUUGUACCGCGUAAAGGUGUGGGAACAUGCGUCUAGGGGAAUAAACACCACGAAGGUGCGGGAACAUGCGUCUAGGGGAAUAAACACCACGAAGGUGCGGGAACAUGCGUCUAGGGGAAUAAACACCGUGGUAUGAAGAAUAUUAAACAGAACAUUAUUCGGUUUACAAGACAAUUGGUGGUUGGGUAGAGAAGGUUUUCUAUCUAAUUUAUAUACUGCUUUGAAUGGUGACCUAUUACAAUAGAUCCUUCUUAUCAUUACGAAUUUGUUCGUACAUUGUGGGAUUUUUACUAACCUAAUUGGUUCUCUUUUGACUCAAUUUAUAACAAACGUCAUGACACUAGCUAUACCGUUUCGUAUUACGAUUCCUAUCUCUAGUCAUUCUUGAACCUCGUGCGUAAAGACAUGAUAAACCAUAAUGCAACACUUUCCAAAGUAUAUGUUCGAUAGGCGCAGUUCGUAUAUCGAAUGUUAUUCUUGGUUUAUAUCCUCGUUGUUAAGGUUUAUCAGUUUACAGAAACUUACUUUAUAUCUUUGUUAUUAGGGUUUCUCAGUUUAUAGACACCAUUUACUAAAUGGAGGUAUAACGUAAACGUUCUAGUAGCACAGAACGGAGACCAAAGUAUCGUCGUAGUAUACGGUGUUACAAGGGUAUCUUAUAAAAAAGAUCAAGAAAGUAGGUGAAUUAGUUUUCGUUCAAUUGGACUUUGGUGUGUCAUCAUUCGUACUCGUUCAUUGUAUAGAUGUUCUGUUCCUUUAAUGGUUUUGAAACUUACGGUCUUCAUUAUUCGAUUUGUAGUCAUGUUUAAGGAGUUUGAGUUCCGUGACUACUACUUUAGGAGUUGUCAGUUUUUGUGUUAAAAUCGACGUAGUGAAUGAAUAAAGAGAAAAUGUUCAGAAUGUGCAACUUGUUUUUUGAAGGACAAAUUUCAUAGUUAAUAUAGUUGGCUAUCUGUUAGACGAAUACUCCGUGUAGUUCUUAUUGGUAUCUUAAAGUACCUCUUUGUUUUGAUACGUUUCUUAUUUUUUUUUCAUCAUCGUUGGUUUGUCUUGAGUAGUGUGUUGAAUUUCGUAAAUGUUAAAUACCUAGAUCUUAUGAUUCAAUUCGACUACCUACUAAACUUUCAAGAUAUUCAUUGUUUCUAUGUUAUGUCGAUCUUGCUACUAGUACGUUACGGUUUUUAUUCUGAGUAUAGUAGAAUAGAUACUUUUGCAAAAAAAAUUUACUUCUAUUUCCUUUAUCCUUCGUUGUUGAUUGGGGUCGGAAACUUUGAGAGUCGAGUUCUAGCACUAAUAUUUAAAGUAUGUCUAUAACCGGCUUGACCUGGGGAAGGAAAGGCAGAAGGAAGUUCGCUGCAUUUUGUUCGGUGUAUACUUCUUGUUCGUUACUUUUACAUCAAAAUUUGCAAAAGAGGUUGACUUUAUGACGUGCCUUAGUUUGUACCGUCUACAAUCAUAUGAGGGUUUAUAAUGGACCUGUUUUAAUGAACUGGUUCAAGUGUUUUACAUUAUGUUUAUAUCUGGUAGAAGAAACAUAGAAGUAAAAUAACAUUGGAACGUAUACACCUUCGUCUUUAGUUCUAGACUUAUCGACGAAUCAAAUACUGGUGUCAUUUGGAGAAGGACUAUUUUAAAUAACAAAAUUUUAGUUUUCCGGUUGCGAGAAAUGAUUGGUUUAUUCGUUAUUCUGUUCUAAAACUAACUUUCGUCUGAAUUAUCUAACCUGUAAUUGAUUCGUUUUUGCUUUUCCCUUUGCUUUUAUCCUAUAGUAAACCACUGAUCAUUCUUCCGUCUGGUAGUAUUUAUCGUCCGAACAGCUGGACUCUUUACUGUGCCGCUAUCUGUUGUAAACGGGGAGACUAGCUAAACGAGACGAAUGACAUCUUAUUGUCAUCGAAUUUUUAUUAUGCGGCUUACGGGAGUUUGGCGCCGAGAAGUUGAGCGUUCCCUCUUAGUGCUUGGUUUCGGUUUCUUGUCCCAAACCUGGUUUUGUUUCGUAAGUCAAACUGGACAUUUUCUCUGCUCGGUUUUACCUUUGGAAUAGACCAUACAAAAGUAUUCUUACCUAUUUAAGUUCCUGAGAUUAGUAUUUUACAGCUUUAUUCGUAUGACUUUACGCAUUUGUUCAUACUGGGGUCAUAAAAGAUGUCCUGUUUAAAUCGUGAUGUCUAAGUUUCAAGGCUUUCUCUAUACGUUUUUUGACAAAUUAUGUUUCAUUACAAACCUCUUUAAUGUUUAGGAGUAGUAUUCGGAUUUGUUUAGGAGUAGUAUUCGGAUUUGAGAGGGUACAUAAGUAGUCUUGUUUUUUGUUUAACAAAUUAUUCCAAGAAAAAUACUUUCAGUUUUGGAUACAGCCAGUUUUUGAGUUUUACGCACUUUUACUUUUACAGUGUGGGAGCAUAGUAAAAUAAGAUACUGUGUCAAUCUCUUUUCGUCAAAAUAGGGAAAGCUUUUCAAAGUAAAAUCGUAACGGAGAAACGCUGAGUAAGAACGGCUUAAGGAGGAAUCGAACUAGAAGCUUUCAAUGCCGAAUUAAGUAAACGGAGCCGGUAUAGUUGACUAGUUUUGGAUGAAGAAAUAUACAACAAGAGUUACUGAUUAUCUUUAGACGGUGAACGAAAAGAAAGGAUAAUGGCGGGAUUAAAGAUUUUGGGAUUAAUGAAAUGGAGAGUCUUUAGUCAGAGUUUAUGUUUUGAUGCUCGAUACUCGUCGUGUUACGAUCUAUUCGUUAGUGAUGUUUUAUAAGUAAUUCUCUCUUUUUUGACUUUGGAUUAGAUUAACGCUUUAUUAAGAUUGGUUUAAACGCUAAGAUUGCUUAAGAAUGUGGAGGCCGAAUAGUACCUGCGCGAAGCCGCCGCCGCCGCCGCCGCCGCCGCCGCCUCUUAAGCUUCCUCGGCCGCGGCGUCGCCGCCGAAACCGCUUCGACGCUAGCUUCUUUUCUCGAAGACGCCCUUAGCGACUAGAGAACACGGUACGCUCCCACCUCCUCUCUAGCCUUUGCCGAGAGGGGGUAGCUCCCUUGUAACAACUUUUUUUUUUUUUAAUAUCUCCGCUCUAACCCGCUUAGUUUGGAUCUUUUCUCCCGCUAUUACGCGCUAAUACCGAAGUUUGUAAAUUAAACCUUUUUCUCCUUUUCCUCUAACUACUCUUUAAGGAGUAGGACGCUAGAUCCCAAAUUCUUCUCCCCCUCUCUCUCUCUCUCUCUCUCUCUCUCCUCUACCCCCUCUCCCCAAAAAUCACGUUAUAAGAAGGAGAUUUUAAAAUAAAAUUUUUAUUUAUACAAUUUAAAAAUAAGUAUUUAUAUCAAAAUAUUCUCGCUACUUACUAAAUAGCAAAGACGAAAAAAAAAAAAAGAAUGAAAAAAAAUAUUAAGACACUACCAUUUUCGCCAUUUACCAAAUGGUAAAUAUAAUAAAAAAAUGAUGAUUUGUCUUCAAUACUUACGCCACUUAGUAAGUAGCGUAAAUUUUUAGAUAAAAAUAUUAAUAAAAAUUUUUUUUUUAAUAAAAAUGCUAAUAUUUUUAGUUAUCUUAAUCAAUAUUUUUUUUUAAUACCCCCUCUGCGUUGUUCACGUUGGCGAACAAAACACUCACUUCUCGCAUGUGCCUCGGGUAUUUUCGAAGGCGUCGCCCUCCUUAAGAUGUGACAGUAUGAAUGUGGUGCAGUAGUUAUUGUUCAGUUAGUAUAAAGAAGAAAAGUUUGUUUUCAUGUUAUUUUUAUGAAAAAAUGUUAGUACUACCUUGUAUAUAAGAAUUUUCUUAAUUAAACUAACCAAACAAUGCGGUGCAGUGAUUAUAUGGGCAACGUAAGAUCUUAAAAAGGGCGUCGUCUCCGCUUUUGGGCUUGGCCCUUACGAACAACUCACAUUACCAAUAUAUAACGCUAACGCACGCAGAGGAACGUUUAAAAAAUUUAAUUAUAUGAAUUUUUUUAUGAUCUUAAUAUUUUUAUUACAAAAUUUUUAAAAUAAAUGUUUUAAUCCAAAUAUGCCAUUUAUUUAAUGGCGAAAAUUUAUAUUAUUUUAUAAAAAAAUUUUAUCAUUUUAAUAAAACUUUUUUGAAGUUUAUAGUGAAUAAAUCAAAAUGUGAAAGAGUGAAACCAUGGUACCCCAAAUUGCACAUAGCUAAAUCGUAGAGCAACAAAGUAAAAAGAAAAAAAUAAUAGGAAGGUGAUUAAAAAAAAUAAUUUAAUCGCUGUUUUAAUUUUGAUUUUCCAUCAUUUCACUUAUAAGCUAUUUAGAGCUGCCCUAUAGACUUUUAAAAACAUAUAUUAAAUUGCUUUGUAAUUGUCUGCAGCUUCCUCAACUGCUUUUCUUUUUUUAUUUUGAUAUACCAUGAUUUAACUAUGUGAAAUUUGAUAUACUAUGAUUUUAUUUUUUUUAUACGUUUUGGUAUUCUUACCAUAAACUUUAAACAGAUUAAUAAAAAUCACAAAUUAUAAUAUGUAUAAAAUUUCAAACCUAUAUCUUUUAUAUAAUUAAUCCUAUUUUACCAUUACUAAGUGACAAAAAAAGAGUAAGCUAAUGAAAAAAAAGAGUAAACUAAUAACACAUUAUUUUUAUUAAAAUUAGUAGAUAAACGUAUUUUACGCUGAAAAAACCUGGUUUCAACUUAUCAAAACAACUUUACUAAUUAAACAAAAAUAAUAUCAAAAUAAAAAAUUUUUAAUAAAUAGAUAUCAUAGCUGGUAUAAUUGAUAAAAAUAUGAUUUGACUAUAAAAUAAAAAAUGUUUAAAAAUGAAAUUGCUAUAGAUAAGCAGCAUUGUACGUACACUGACGUGAUCAUAAAUAUUUUUUGAAUUACUUUAAUUGUGAAAAAAAACACCCCCUUGAAGUUUAUGGGGGCACCAAAGCAUUAAAGAGUGAAAUCAUGGGAUACCAAAUUUCACAUAGUUCAAUCAUGGUAUACUAAAACGUGGAAGAGUGAAAUCAUGGGAUAUUAAAGUUCACAUAGUUCAAUCAUGGGACACCAAAGCGUGAAAAGGUGAAAUCAUAGCACACCAAAUUAUGAAGCAAUUUAAUAUAUGAAACUUUACUUAUUAUUUUUCUCUUUUAACUUUGGUGUCCCAUGAUCAAACUAUGUAAACUUUAGUAUAUCAUGAUUUCACUUUUUCACGCUUUGGUAUACCAUGAUUGAAUUAUGUGAACUUUGGUGUAGCAUGAUUGAUGUCCCCAUAAAUUUCAAAGGAAAAAGGAAAAAAGAAAAAAGAAAAAAGAAAAAAAAAAAAAAAAAAAUGCUCACGUGGAGUCGUCGUCGUCGUCUUUAAACUUAGCUCAGGCAUGUUUUAGCGAGGAGGAAGAGGAGGCUGCUCAGUGCUCGACGACACAUUAAAAAAAAAAACUUUUUUUUUUCUUCUUUUUCACGGAGCAGAGGAAGGGGCGACGCGGUAGGUAUAUACGAUGUAGAGGUAGAGGUAAACGGUUUCAUGAAGAGCUUCAAAGCGCUUGUUGUUUCUCCCCAACCCCUCCCCGGCUCCCCCUCCUCCUCCCCCUCCCCCAAGCAUCUACCUCAAGUGCCUGCGCAUGUUCGUUUGCCCCGGGACGUCGAAGAGGGGGCUGAGGGCGAAGGAGCGGGAGCGGCAGCUAAUAGCGGAACAGUAGGCGCUGCAGCAGAGGGAGUUCCAGGGGGGGUGAGGGGGGGGAAGCGGCAAGAUCCCAAUCCCAAAACGUCAAGGACAACGUACGUAACGUAACAUAUGGGGACAAAGAGAGAGAAUAGGCCUAGUCGCGAAGCUCUAGCAUUGAUCUCAAACCUAGAAGUUUAAACGACCUAAGACUCCGCUAAUAUCAAAAACCUACGUCUACAUUAAAAUACCAAUUACAUCGGGAUGAUUGAUCACAAAGGGUAUUACACUUAGGUCACAGGCUAACGCUACUUACGUAACACACUUGUUUUAGACGCUGACGAAGAAACCUCUAAGUUAGAUUCGCAUCAGAUUCACAAAAACCUUCAAUGUUUUACGUCACGAAGGAUACAAACCUAAGAGCCAGACGAAACUUAGAGGAGAUUGUUGGCUAGACUUAUUAGAACGUAAAGCGAACUAUCUUUCUUUACGACCUUGUCUUCUUCAGUGGUUCACAAUCUAAGAAACCUCUUAUACCACCGCUACUCAAAUGUCAUUGUAUAACAUAGUUUGGCAAAAACAAUACCUUAAAACGAUUGAACGUUAACCUUUGUUAAUGUUAGAACAAUCCAUUCCGUAUUACUUUACCACCUGCGUAACGUAUUAUAACAAACAAAUCUCGCUACGCGUUUUAUACCCUAGUGUUAGUGAUUCCGUUUGGAAGACGCAGCUUUGGGACGAUAGUCUAAUUUACGUUAUAUAGGUUAAAAGACAAGGGGAUUAUUAAUUUAAAUAGGUACAAAAGGGAUGAACCACAUCCACCAGGUUGAUAUAAGUACACAGCUGUUCUAUUCGAUGCAGCUUACCCGGGGACUAAGGCUCAUGUAUGAAACACCAGAGGUAUUCUCCGGCUACUAUGUCCGCACCAGUAAUUCGGUCGGACUCACCUGAACAUUUUAUCUGCUUCCGGGACGGCCAUAACGAAUACGGUCCACCUCGGGACUGUCGGCCGUAUAUGAAUGCUGUAGUCUCAAAGUCGAUGCACAAUGGCAAACCAGCGACCACUUAUGACGUACGCAUGUACAGGUCACCGGUUUCGUACGGAGGUUCCCACAAAGAAAGUGGGUUCUACCUUUCAAACGUCGAUAGACAUGUUCCGCUCUAACGUUCCUAAUGUAUUUGGAGGAAAGGACAGUAAGAACCCUUUAGUACCCACAAAAACGACAACUAUGUUAUCUAAACCGUCCGCAACUCACCAGAGGGCUACUAUCACGAUAGCAGCAGACCCUAAGCGAAGAACUUAUGUUCCAUGAGUGAAAAACUGUUAUUUGACAUUACCACUUUGACGAAUAAAACUAAGUGUAAUGAAGCAAAUGCAUCUUAUACGAACACAAGUUGGUAAAUAAUCGUGUUCGAAAGGAACUUCAGAAUUAUAGUAACAAGUCCAAGUAAGGUCACAGAUCAAAACAUUUCUGAACACAUGUAAGAAAUAACCGUAACACAUGCGAAGACCAAGAAAUACAAGAUGAAAGAUGGUGAAGUAGUACGUCAAACCUAUUCGUAGAUAGUAGGUACGUAUCUUUUUUUAACAUCGAAGUUGAUCAUUCAACUCACCGCAUAACAUAUGGAUUAACAGACCUAUUGUUAUACGAUCUAUUAGUUGAUUGAAUCUCUAAUAUACAUCCGAAAACCUCGAUUAAGACAUAUAUAGUGUCCAAGAUUAGAUAAGAGGUCUACCCUCUACGAAUAAGUUUAUAGUUCGUAUACUUUCACCCAAUCCACACUUUUGACAACGGACCAGGGGGACACCCGUUAAGAAUCGUCACCCAUCAAUACUAGUCCGUCAUGCCUGUAACUUGGUAGACUGUACCUUUUGAAAACGCCUUAAGUACGUACAUCGUUGGUAAGCAUCGGGGACAUUACGAGGACAAAAGUUCCAUCUGUAUGGAGAAGUUCUAAUAAACGAAGAAGAAAUUAUAAAGAAAGAAGAACUCUACAAAGAGACUCUUCGUAUCAAAUAUAAAACUUACAUCCUUCAGCUACUUGGGAACGUUGAACUAUACAGGCUCAAUACAAACUUACUCCUGAAAGGUGUAUUGGAAGUUCUGUUAACAGGACCACUCUUAACCGUAAGUGAAAUUUCGACUUUCAAAUAAAAUGUAUACCACUACUACCAACCUAAUGAUUCUGUAAUCAAGGUCAUAAAACCUUUUCCUAAAAACGAUUGACUUUGAAAAAACAUAAUGUUUGACACCUGAUAUAUUCAUUAUGAGUGUAGUAGUUCUUACAUUACACUGUACCAAAAUAUGGUGACAUGGGUAUUCUAGACUAAUGUUACAAAAAGAGGAUCGUUUUUUGAAAAACGGUGUUUUGCAACUGACCCUUUCUGUGGAAUUAAAGAUUACAAAUCGGUUAGAUGAAUAAAAUCACUCUUUUAGAUCGAAAACUCUUCUAGAUAGAAAAGAAAACUUUUAAAAACUCCUUUAUUUUACGGAUACAUCCUCAUUCCCUCUCUUAUGGCUAGAAUAAUCAGUGUGCCAAAAGACAGAAUCCCCCUACUCUAUACACUACAAUGUAUUAACAGAUUUUAGUACUCCAUUUAUGUUGUCAUUCAUGACCAAUACACUAAUUUGGACGUCUUGAGAAAGUAAAAGUACAAGCUUAUACCAACGUACGAACAGUAGGAUGAUGGUAUUGUACCAGAGACAGUCACAACCGAAUUGUAAUCGUUGACUAGAAAAUUCUAAAAAAACGUCUUUCACGGCGUCUUCCUUUGAGGUCUCAAUUCAUGUUUCAUUACCUAGAAGGUUGGUCGAACGGUAGUGUCUUCGGUUGUUAUCUGUUCGGUUUGGGGUUUGUUCCUCAACCAAUCGAAGAGUAGGAAGCCAAGAGAGUACGUUGAAAAAAAUAGAAAAAGUGAAAAAAGUAGAAAAUCUCCUUAAAAGUAUUCCCCUAAGAUUUAACAACUGGAACUUGAGUAGCCGAAAAAACAAAGUCUCUAAUAGUAUAUAUCAUGGAAUAAUAUUUUUCAAUAGUAAGUAGUAUCGUUUAACGUAGGUCGAUAAUGAAGACUAAAAGUGACAUGAAAUGAAGUACGUCAAAAAGUAUAUUUAUGAAGAACGUGUAGAGAAGUGCACCUACAAAGACUUUUGCGUUUAGGGCUGGUUCAAGAAACUCAACACGUCCAGACAACGUUACCUCGUUACUAUCGGUUAUGGAGAAGUGCGCAUUACUGUUGUACGGUUGACGUGAAACCUAUACCCUAUAGACGGUGGAACUCGAACGACGUCAGAACCACGUCUUUCUCGGCUAGUUCCGACGCCGUACCCUCGGCUGAAAGGGAGCACAGCAGGACACGUGUCCCUCGAGAGUAAACAUAUACACCUCGGGUUCGCCUCGAACGACACAAUUAUAAGGUAACGGUUUCAAAUUGUAGACACUGGAUUUUACCUUACGCCUACCCGCAACAGAGGAGGAGUUCCUAGCUCUUAGGAAGACGACACGACGUCAACAGAGACACGACGGUCUGAGUCGCCUUCUAUCAAGUCUACUACUCAUUCCAAGAGAAAAUACACGAAAAAAAAAAAAAAACACCACAAUAAUACUCCUCUAAAUUUAUACGAACAAAGACGUACAUCGAAACAACAUGAUAUCAAGACGAUUUUAUGUUUAGUUCCAAUAAAACACAGCUUUUAUAACCAUCUUUUUGCGGCGUACGUGUUUAGAGGGGUAGUAUGACGAUAAAAACGUGAAGUCGACUGAAAUGAUACCCGUUAAUACGUUAUCCAAGGAAUUUGAAAAUAAAAAAUUUAACUCUGUAGGAGUUGAAGGUCUGAAAAAAUUAACUCAAAAACACGAAUCAAUAGAAUUUUUUAAUCAGUUUAAAAAUAUUGAUGAUUAAUUAUUAUCAAUCGAUCAGAUCAAAAUAAACGAGUUUUGACAAUAUUUUAAACCACUUUGGUGGCCACUUAAACUGUGUGACGGAAGAAAAGACUUAUUUUAGUGAACGAAGAUUUUUUUUAAUGAUCAAUUCCUCCAGGGUUAAUUUUUUUCCUUUUUUUUUUUGACUCCCUAGAUAAAAGUACAAAAGGAUAUCAACUCUUCUAGAGGUAUGUUAAAUUGGAAAAAGGAUGUAAUAAUAUUGUGUUCUUUCUUUUCCUUUCUUUUCUUUUCCACAGUCGCCAGUCUUAGAAGCUAUGGUUUGUAGGACCACUCCCCGCUGAAUCAUCGGGUUUAUAACGGUUAUUCGCAUUUAGGUAUUACUAAUCGUUGUACACACCUCGGUUUAUUUUGUUAUGAAUGUAUAUCAUAGUAGAAUGCAACUAUUCUUUUACGAUUUAAUUGCUUACUGGAUGUAUUUAGGUGGCGCAUCUUUUUGUGAUUCGUGUGGUUGAGAGGGUGUAGGGACCAGAUAUAAGCAUUGACUGUGUCCCAAAGCUCUGCAUUGUGAUGUUGUAAUCGUUAUAUGUUUGUCUACUGAUAUUAACGAGUUCAGUUAUUUACAACAAGUUAAACUUUGGGUAAUUUAGUUGAAUGGUUGGCGAGAUGUGACUCACCCAUCUAGUUGUAUGAGAUAAUAUAGUGAGGACCCUGCCUUCGUCUCAUUAUAAGGAACUACGGUGACGUGGUCAUUGUUAGAGGGUUCGUCUACUUUUACUAACACGGCGUCUGACAACAAAUCUCAUGAAGAAGCCGGCAAACAGGUGGUUCAUGCCGUGCUAUACGAGAAAGUAUAGUGACAACCUCUAAGAGUUUACUGGAGGAAAGUGCGAUUACUUAAAUUGAGCGGGUCGAAGUAGGUCUCGAAAGUUUGGAUAGGUCAGAAGACACAUCUCACACCAGACGUUCUUGUCAUUUAAAACACUCAAAAUUCCCGUGUUUUUCUCCUGUCUUUUACGGUACUAAGGGCACUUAAAUUCGUCCUUUGCCGGAUCACACGCUCUUUACCGAAUUCUCUGUAAGUAGAUUGCAUCGAACCCUAUCGACAGUCAACGCUGCUUGAUGGCCAGUUAUUUCGUUGUUUUAAAAGUUAAAGAUGUCUUAAACGGAUUGUCUCUGACGUAGAGUGUCGUUCAUGCGUUUAGGGAAAGAUGUCUGUAAGUUAAAAUGUUAGUUAAUGGAUACCUAUGUUUUUUAUUUUUUUUUGUGUGGAGUUAGUUUACUCUAUAAUAGUUUACAUUUUAAGUUUGUUUAGUUAGUUUUACACUAUACGUAAAGCCGUUAUUUUCUCCUCUUGCGAUGGACAACACCUCCGUUUUGACCCGAUUUCCGUGGUAGUCCUAUCAUUGGUUUGGUUCGUCAAAGGGCUCCAUAGUUCUGAUAUAGCAAGAGUUUGAUAAUGUUUCUGUCUCUACUAUUAGUCGUUUAAACCAAAAGUCGUCCUACCUUAUCUUUACUUGGUUUUUAUUAUUACACUGUUUCACCAUCUAUUUUAAGUUGUCCAGGGUCUAAUUUUUUAUUAUAGUGUCUGGUGUAUAUAUAUAUAUAUAUAUAUAUAUAUACCCUACGUAUUUUCCAGCGAAAGAACUUGAUUGGUAAUAUUCUUGGUUUCAGAGGUUCGAUGACUUAGAAAGAAACAUCCAUCUUAAGGAAAACAGACCUUAAAGUAACAAAUCGGAACCUUCUUUGGACGUGGGAAGGUUUAUUACCCUUUAUAGGACCUCUUUUGUCUAACUAAAACAAUAGACGAACGAAAGGAGUCAAGUAUUACGACGAGUAUUACGUCGUAGAUCAACACUGUAUCUAUCAUUAUCCUUCUCUUUUACUAUUAUGUUGAUGGCCUUCAUCUUGUAAAGACUUUAAUAUAGAGUGUAAAAUCACGUUGACAAGGUGUUCCCGUUCGGUUUUUGUUUCCUUUUUUUUUAGAGUCUUGCAAAUCUCCUCUAAUAGGUAAGUUAAGAUGUAUACUUGAAGGAAUUAUAAAAAGAAGUACUUUUAUACAGGCAUUGAGUCGUCAUUUGAGAUGGGUUUUCAUCAAUAUAAUUGGCCCGAUUUUCAAUGUCAGAGAUAUUUUAUUGUUCUCAUCGUAACGAUUCUGUCUAUUCCAUCGAAAUCAAAACACUAAAAUUGUAAUGUUCUACCUAUAGUAAGCGAAUUAUACCUCUUUUAAAUUCAUAAUCGACAGAUCUGUGUGAUUAGAUUAACUAGAUCAAAGUAUCAUAGUAACGAAGAUUGAAGACGUUUAAAAUGUGAUCAGUUAUGUACCACAUUGUGGACCGUUCACACGAUGGCACGUAGAUCUCAGAUCCAAACCCACAAUUGCUGAUCAUGAUAAACUUGAAACUUUGGUGGAACUAUAGUCAAACUAGUAGUCAAUUCCCCAGACUAGUAGUAUCAAUGAGUGACACGCGUAAUAUGAGACUUGUCAAAUCAUUAACGAUGAAAGGUACUCCCCCAUUUAAUGAUGUUUACUAUUUAUUGAUCUUGAAAAAGAGUGUCUGGUACAAAGUCGAUGUUUGUGUCCAUUAUUUUUGGUUAUUUCCCUUUUUUUUUUUGUCUUUGUCUUUGUUUAUGGGUGUCAACCUUAGAACUCUAUUGGUGAUCCCCGGUCUACAAGGACAUUAAAUAGUCAGACUUCAAUCAGGAGUUUUGCUACGAUCGUAAGGUUGUUUAGUAUGUCUCGUAAACUAAAUCAAUACUAAACCUUAAACAUAUAUGGACGUGUAUUAACCUUAUAUAGAGACAAAAUUCCUCCUGCAGUUGUUCUUGUGUAUACUAUGGUCUGACGUUACUUUGUUAUUACCUUUCCAUUCGAUCAACCAAAAAGCUUUCUUUUUAAUAGUCUAUCUUUGUCCUUAAGGUGACAGACGUUGUUUCUUCUACGUGUAUUAUCUUUCUCCAGCCAGAAUCAAGGAGGUCCCUACAGUUUAUUCUUUGUUUUAGGUAAAAAGAAACGGAAUUAUACCUAUGUAGAGGAAACAAGACCUUAACCAAUUGUUAUAAGUUUAUAGAAAGCUACUUUUACUUUAUAUCUCGUAUGUACCAUUUGUUAGCUUUUUGUAUUACGCGAAGUCUUUCGAAUGUGGUGUAUUACCGUGUCUUCGUCAUGGGCGUUCUCCUGGUGGGUUACUAUACUUUAAGAAGUGGACAAUCGUUAAGAAGUUGAUUGAAAGUAAUCUGUUAAUAUAGAUUUCGAAUUAGUUUUCUUUAUAAUUUUAAGAAGUAGACGUAGUUUCUAUCUCGACUAAAAUUUAUCACGAUUAUUUAUAGUGUAUACCUAUUACCUAGCUACUUUUACAUGUCUUUCUUGUGGGAACAUGAGUAUACCGUUAACAUACGGGCUUACUUAAGGUUAAGAAGAUCAUUGUAAUAUAAAAUAGAUACUGACUUUUAUAGACGUUGGUGUCCUCUCUGUAAUAAGAGGACCCUGUAUAUACGCUUCAGUGGUGAAAUACACGGCGAUACCUUGUUCAUUAGUAUGUACUCCGUGGGUGUUUGUUUUGUUCACGUGCCCUGUGGUGUAUGUUUGGUUCUCUAACUCAUCGAGUAAAGCCUGACAAACGUUGUUUCCGAAGUAUCGUCCAAAAUGACUCAUACCAAGACAGUGGUAUUCAGGUGUUAGAAUGUACGAAUAUUUAAUUAGAGGUCAAACAAUGUUUUUUCAGAAGUAAGUCCUUCAACUAUAUAAAAGACUAUGAAGGAAAAUAUGAUCGUUCUAUACUUUGAUGGUGCCUGUUCGUUUUCUCCCAGUAUGAUUUAAGUAGAUUCAUUAUUUGAUGUUAUUUACUUACCAGUCCACCGUCAUACUAAUUAGACAUUUCAUCCUGUAUUAGUGUUCACACGAAAUAAAUAAUAAGUCUAAGACCGUUCGGAAUCCUUCAGUUAUUGAUGUAUUAUCGGUAUUAUUUCAUUUAGUUCUUAUUAACGAUGUACUAGCUUUCAUUUACUGAGACACAUGAUUCGUACAGGAAUUUAUACGUUCAAGUAUUCCUUUCGACGAAACACGGGUAAAUUAAUUAGAUCGUGGGUACAACAGUUUAUGACGAGACUGUUGGUCUUUUAAUAAGAUACAGGAUAUACAUGUUAUCCAUCUAUAAACAUUGUAGUGAAGAGGGAAGUAAAACCUUGUUUUUACCUAUGUUCCGUAAUUUUUUUUUCAUUUAUUUAUUUAUUUUACUUACUAUUCUUGAGCAUGUCCUCCAGGCGGUAGUGUCUUGAGUUGAUGACGAGCUGGUUAGUUUAAUGGGACAUCCAUUGUUUAGUGUUCCUUUUUCCAUUACAACGAUUUUUACCUGUUGUUUUCUUGACUUUUGUCUAUGGAGUUGACAACUAUAGAUUCAAGUUUCCUGUCAUGUUGUAGUUUGUGUGUAUUAUUGUCGUGUAUUUUCAUUUGAUUGUAAAAAACAACUACAUUGUCUUCUUUAAUAAAACCAAAUCUGUAGUCACAUUUAGGACUUUUCUUUAAAUAAUUUUUUUUGAUGAACGUUUAUGUCAACUAUUAUAUUCAUUGAUAGCAUGGGUUGUACAUACUGCAUGUCAAAGUCCUUUUGCGUACGAUUCUGUUCAAUUUUUUCUUGUUCGUGGGUUUUCCUUCAUGGACUCUAUCCGGUUGAUACAACAUUGGGUACGAUUCAAGGAGGUAAAGAAAGUGGACGGUCACACUCCUAUAUAUCCUGUUUAUGUUAUAGUGUUAAAAUUGUGAUAAAUUCUUUAGCUUUCGUCAUUUGUAAUGGUUUUGUCUACUUAGUGGAAGAGUGUUUGUUAUAAUCGGACGUUUCUACGUAUUAUAAUUUAUAGUCUCUGUGUUGUAUUGCUUUUGGAAAUCGUUCCAAGUAUAAGUAGACUAUCCUUUUAGUUGGACAAGGACCUCCCCGGACUCGGUUCUCAGGUAAUGAGGUAGAGGUUAAAGAGACGUUUCUCUACCGUUCGAAUUAAGUUUUAAACGUUCUCUCUACACAAACUUUUCUGUGUUCGAUUACCCAACCUAUGACCAAUUAGGUAAGGUUCAGUAGUCUCGUCUUAGGAUUUUCUCUCGUCUUUUGUUUUAGCGCUAAUGCUGUAUGUAUUUGUAGUUAAGUGGGUAACAACAAAGUAUAAAUGCGUAUUAAAUCAAGUUUUCCUGCUCCAUUAAGGUCAAAGACUCCUUUAGUACGAUCCAAAGAUAUCGUUUUAACUAUAGUUUACCAAAUUCGUUAGUUCUUGGCAUGUUCGUCAUAGGGAAUCUCGGUCUGGUGAGCGAGUCUUCGAGGCACUUGACGCAGUGGGGAAACAAGUGCGUGACUAGGGGUUAAGGAUGUUGGUUUCUUCUUGGGAGCUAAUUAGCGAUGUGGUCGAGUUAUCGUUGUUUUCUUGGGAGUUAGCUGUGCUUAUCAACUUCUUUGCUUGGUACGUUCUGUUACUUCCCCUAGCUCCUGCUCCGAACCUAACUCUCCUGCUUCUGCUGCUGCUGCUCCUCCUCUCUUUGCCGGAAGCUGUCAACUUAGCGGUAAUAGCGGGGUUAGGAAGAUCUUAAAUCCCGAGGAGAAGCUAGCCUUAGCUCGCCCCUGCUCCCCUAAGAAAAAGGGGGUUGGAGAGAAGGAGCAGGCUCUCCCCGCUGCUCACACCUGGACACCAUCUCCUCUCUCGUACCCUCGCACAAGCAGCUCCUCUCUCCCCAUAAAUCACAGUGGCGAAGGGCCCCAGGGCCACUGUAUUGGCAUGUGCGCGGAGCACCGGGCACAAUGCUUUAUGCCAAAGAAACUUCUCCCGCAUGUGGUUGUAGUAAUCUCACCAAUUUUAGUGGCGGGUGCCAGCCAUUCGCAUGUGGUCCACGCUAUAAAACUCCUGGCGCUUUUGGGGUUACAUUCUUUGAAAAUAAAUAAAUAAAUAAAUAAAUAAAUAAAUAAAUAAUAAGAAACUUGGUUGACCUCUACGGUGCACAGUACUACAGUAUGUAAAGUUUGCUCAAAUUGGCACGCCCCCCCCCCGACCCUUCCAAUAAUCAACUCUCAUAAGAAAUUUUCCUUUUAUUAAAAGAUCGACAUUUUAAUAAAAAAUAGAUUAAACUAAAAAUUUAUUAUUAAAAAAUAUCUUAAAAAAAAAAAUCUAUUGCUAGAAAAAUACAAAGAAGUUCUUUGGUUUAUGGGCGAUUAUUCGGUGAGAACGAAGAAUGUCUUCGAAGAGGGCAUCUUUCAAAGGACCACGAAGAAUUGACCCACAUGGUAUCAGCAAUCUCACGUGCCUCGUAAUAGAGAACAGUAAAUUAACUAAGCGUUGGCUCAAAUCAUGCCGUGUCUAUUAUAUAUUUACGAGUCAUGGUUAUAACUAAUAAAGCCACGUUACUCCUCGAGGUUCAUCUAUUACUAUCGCCUGGACGAGCUGCAAUUAAAGCAUAUUAUUAUUAUUGCUCGAGGUCCUCUGCUUGUACAUGAUACGUACACUUGACUUGGCUUUUCAUUUUCUAGCAUUUUAACAUUUUAGCGUAAUCAACGCACCCAUUUUAGUGUCCAUGUGUUGAAUGGUCUACCCUCUUACCCAUUUACGCGUCAGGGACACUAGACUUAGGGGAGACAAUUUUCUCGACGUGUUCCUUGGACUUUUGUUGGUGUUUUAGUUUCUUUCCCAGUUAACGGCGUCAAGAAAUUUUUCCUUCUAUGAUUGGAUUGAAUAGUUCGGUUAAUUAGGUGGGAACUCAUCCAAAAGGGGUAUAAUCGUCAUUUUUUACUGACGUUUAAUACCCUUAGUACGUCACGUUUUCUAAAAUGAGGCUGCUCGCUUUAAGACUUAAUUCUGUACAGUCAAUUCUAGUACUGUCAAUUCUAAUUAUCCAUAUUCUUGUGGACUUCUAACAAUAUUUAAAUGAGCUUGGACCCCGCCGCAAGAAGUCUCGUCUUGUUAGACCACAUAUAAGAAGAUAAAAACGCAUAACUGAAAGUACACAUAAAACUUUUACUUUACUUGUUUAGAGUCGUGUUAAGAGAGUCUGUUUGACAAGCUGAAUAGCGAACUUUAUAGGUAGACGAUUUGACCGACCGGCAUAAGACGCUAAACUUUAGGAAUGAAAGAGGAGGUAUAAGAGGAACCGGAACACGAAAAGUAGAAAAGGUCACGUAAAAUUCGUAAUUACUUCUUUUUCUUUACUCGAAGAAUUGUUCGUCACUUGACUCUAAGGGUGAGGAGAAGAGAAACCGGAAAGUAAAGAUCAACUUCCGUGGAAUUGUUUGACAUGUGUCGGAGGGUUAGUCUUUUUCGAGACAGUGGACUCUGUUUGAGGGUUUGGGACAAAGGUUGGAGGUGUUGUGAUGUGGGUCGGAGGGAAAACGGGGGGUUGAAGGAGUGGAGAAGGAACUGGGAAAGGUGUAGAGGGGUGGCGAAGAAGGGCCGUAUUUCUAAGGAGUAAUAGUGUAUUAAGGAGCGUAAGGGCCCAAGUUAGAGAAGACGGGAGAAGUAGUGGGAGAGACGGGAGCGUUGUAGGGGCAUUGUGGGCGUUCGUUUAUCGUUGCUCGAAUUUUGAUAGGGCAACUGAGGUUUCCCGUAAAGCAGCUGGUUGAAGAGCCGAAGCAGAUUUAUGGGUGGAGCAGGGUUUUCCAGGUGGUACGUUGGCAUUACAAGGUGAGAGAAUGUUUGUGGGUUGUAAAGGUAGAGGGAUUUGGUGAAAGAGGGAAGAAGCUGUUCCGGGCGUACCGGCGUCCGACUAUCCUGGGGCUAGUAGCAGUGCGGUAAACCCCUCUUGGGAGAGGAGGCGUAAAGUAAUUUGUGCAGUUCGCGGAGAAGCCGUUCCGGUAAAUCCCGUUUGGGUAACUAGUGUCGUAAGGUCCUUCGCUAAAGGAACAAACCGUUAACCAACUUGUCUACGAAACGGAGCGUCUACAGAGGCGUAAAACGCAUGUACAGUUGCUCACGCCACUGAUAUAAUCAGGAGACCAGCUUUGGGAAGGAAAAACGCAUCAACACAUAGGUUGCUGGUUCUAGCUAGCGUGGGUACAGCCUCUAACGUCCCUACUACGAGUGUUCGCAGUGACGCAGGCCGAGUUUACCUGUACUUAACCUGACGUCAAGAGACUUUUCUAGGUCUCGGACGACACUGACGGAUAAGACCGUCAUGGGUGGUUAGUAGUGUAAGGUUCUCAUCUCUAAAGAAUGCCCGUAAACUAGUUUGUCCAGAGAGCGUCGGAGGCAUAAGGGUCAGAACGUUAUGGGUGUAUAGUUUGAUCAGGUCCUGUGGUGUAAAGGGAGGCCGUGGACAAGUUUGUCGGCCACCCGGCUAAGGUAUAGCGGGUUAAACCACUUUUGUAGCUAGUAUCGCAACUUACGGCGACAUAGGAAUAGUCCAUAGUUUCGUUUGUCGAGGUAUCGGCUCGAUUGAAGUGGCAUAGAUCGUAUUGGUUGUUGGUAGCUUCAGGUACUACGAUUCGAAGAUACUCCGUAAAGUAGCUUGUGGAAGAAUCGUCACAGGUAUAGCGGACGAAAGCACAUGUAUAGUUCGUUACGCCACCUCCGCUUACACAGCGUCUUCUUUGGGUAAAACUAGUGUACCCAUACCUCGACGAGGGGAAGAGAGGCGGGGAGGCUCUCGCGCCGCCGCCUGAACUCCUCGUUCCCCUUCCACAUGAGUAGCCCGCUCUUCCCUCUCGUUAACCCGCCGCUUCCCGGAGCGGCCUCCAGCGCCAUCUCCUUCUCCCGUAGCGACUUCUCCGCCGCUGCCUGCUCCCGCGCCUCGUAACGCUGCGUCUCCCGCAGCAGGACCCGCCGCGCCGCCAGUUUCUGUGCCGCUCGCACCGCCUCCCGGCUCCCCCGCCGCCUCUCGCUCCUCUACUCCGCCCACUCCUCCCCCUCCAAUCUCACCUCCUCCGGUACCGCCUCCUCCUUCCGCACCUAAACCUCCUCUCCUCUCUCCGUGCCCCUCCGCGGCGCCUCCUCCCUCUUCGUCUAGGAGAGAAGCGCCCAGGUCUCCGCUAGUCUCUUCCUAGAAUGUCGUCACCUCCGCUUCUGGCUCCUCCUCCUCCUCCUCCUGUACCCGCAGCGGAGAGGACAGCAGCGCCAAGGUGUAAUCACCCUUUCGCGCUCGCCCUUAUAAACUUCGCCCUAUAAUUUAAUGGUUUAACUGGAAGGUCCCCAUUUUUUUUUUUUUAUAAACUUCUAAGUUUACGUUACCUUUCACUGAAAAUCCCCUCUUUACCGUGAUUUAUUAAAUUCAUGAUGCGAGGUUAGUUGUUUGUAGAAGUCCAUUAAGUGGAGGUUGUCGAUGCACCCCCGUCCUUUUCUUUUUUUUCCCUUAGUGUUGUUAAUGACGCUGUCUUCUUUGGCCUCUCCCCCCCCUCCCCCCCAGGUCGUAUAGUACACUCGGACAAGUAGUGUCUCACAUUACACCCAACUACCGUAAAUACAGGUCCGGAAACUCGAAUCGCUGUCUAAGGUGGAAGGGAAAGUCUCACACGUCAAGGUGGUUGGACGGUUCUAGUAAUGCUUAUUUAAAUGUUGAGUUUCCGUUUUAAAGUGGCGUACAUUUUGUCUAUUACAUCUUUCUUAUUGGAAAUACGAGUAAUUUUCUUCUUUGUGUUUGCGUUUAUCCUGGCGGCCAACGAGUUUAGAAACGAAUCAAAAUGACAUCAGGAGCUAAAAAUUUAAAUUAACAAAAUCCGUGAAGGUAAGAGUUGAAUAGAAUCUUACUCCUACUUCUGGGAGUCUCUUUUAAGAAACGAAGUCACAAAUGAGAGAAUAGGGCUCUCCACUUUAACCUGAGCUACAACACUCUCACUUAACGAUAGUCCAAAUGUUGUCACCGGCGAUAUAACCAAAAAUCAAUCAGUAUAUAUCCCAAAUUACUUUUCCCGACGCUAUUUUAGAACGCAAUCAAGUUUCUGGUUCUACUAAUCAAAAUUUCGAGCCCAAUAUUCACUUUGAAUCGUUUCCUCAAUUCCCUGAUAAACGUCCUACGUGGGGUCAUUUUCUCAAUAUACAUGCAGACAUCUUCCUGUAAUAAUAUUGGUCGUUUUCAGACGUUAUGGAACGCUAGAGACGAGCGGAAGACCGAAGAAGCCGGUAGACUAACAACAGUCAUUUUCAUUGAGAAAGACUCUAGUAAAAACCAAGGCGUCAAACGUCCGGCACGUCACAAGAAACGAGUGCCCGGGUUCGUCGGAGGGCUCGAAGGGCUGGCUUCAAAGAGACCGGUCAAUCACGAUGGACAAAUAUUACUGGCUAAGGUAGAUACUCAUUGUCAUUAUACCACAAUUUUCUUUUUCCAAAUUCACACGCAUCAUAAUAUCGGAAUAACGACAUAUUUAUCUCCAUUUAUUCCAAGAGUUUAUGAAGCAACAUCUUAAUACUCAAUUAUUCUCAAAUGAACGGAAGAAUAGUUCCUGUUCUAAGGUCCGAAACGGUGAUUCGCGUAUAGCAUGUGGCUCGAAUUAACCUAGUUCGUCCUAUAUUUACUAUUGUAACAUGCGGGUUUAUCGGGGACAGGUUGCGGUUGGUUAACGAGACUAAGGCUAGUAGAAGCUUCAGUGACAACGUCGAUAGUGUGAUCGUUAGACGUAAUCAAAUGUUUGAGGUGAAAGUAACAGUGCUUUUUCUUUUGUGUUGUUAAGUAAAUAGAUCGAGAAAAGCUAUGUAAUUAUAACAAAUUUACGGGUGUUUUCCCAAGAGUAUGAUAUCGUUACGUAUAUCAAAUACUUCCGGUGACGUUGGUACACUUUUCUCAUUUACUUUUCUUUAUACUAAAUUUAAAAGGUAUGGAGCAUCCUAUUCUUAUUCUCACUAACGAUAAACUUUUCCAGAAUGAUACCUAAAGGAAUGGUUUUAUUAUUCUCUCUUUCUGAUUGGUCAACUCGAUACUGUUUGCGUCGUUGUUCUUCUUCUGGCCCAGCGAGGUUCUUUCUGGUUGGAGAACUCGCACAGUGUUUAUAGUCUCGAACUGACUACCACGAGUGAACUUCUAUGUUUCGUCUUCGAUUGAAGAGACACGACGGUUUAUAGUUCAGGAACAAGCUAGAUAGAUCGGACACAUACAAAUCUCAUAGUUGGAACUUAUACAAGACGUCCGUAACAACCUUUUUUUUUUUCUUUCAUAUAUUCACUACUAUAUGAAUCAACGUUUUCGGACUCCAUCUUUUUAGUAAAUUGAAAAAAGUAACGUGUAAGAAGUAGAUAUGUCCCAUAGUUAUGACUUAUUAAAUGACUUUCAACUAUAUUACAAAAAUGAUUGGUGUUUUAUAACAGAGAGUACUCGACGGGUUAUCUUGUUCUGCCAGCAUUCUCGGUCUAUACUUGGUUAUUGAUAAGGUCAACGUUUUUAGAGCCUCUCAAAGGUUGAUAGUCCGUAACCUCUACCGAAAUGGGACAGGAAACUAUAUCAGUACUAUCAUGGACUUUUAUUUGUGUCCUUACUUCCCUUUUAACUUCUUUGAGUUUUGCCGUCUAUGUUCUACCUUUGAACUUAAAUUUUACUUAAAAAGAAUGGUAGCAAUUCCUAACGUUAGUGUUCUUGGUACUUACCUCCUUUCAGCUUAAAGGUAUUCUGUAAUUCUUCGUAUUUAGGUUCGACAAUGUGUUUUUAGGACUCUACAGUUCCUCUUCGUUUUCGUGUCGUACCGUUCGUGGUAUAUCAUGUCUCAUGUACUGUAUUAAAUGUCCGCAUAGACAAAUAGUUUAAAUAGAUUUAAUAUUACACUCUUUAGUGAAACUAAAACACGUCCUCUUUUAAACUUUCUCCGUACUAAGUUUUCAAGUUUCCUUUAUCCUUCCCGAUUAACAUUUUAUAUAAAUCUUUUUGGAAUUUAAAACGUCAGAAUGGUGUUAUGCUUAUCAAUAACUAUGACGUAUAUAGACGUGCUUCUUGUGUCUUUCCGGUUGUAGUCAUAAUGUUUUGGUACUCAAGAAAGGAUGAUAUUAUCUCUUCGAUAAAUAUCAAAAUAUGUAUUAUUUUUGUCCUUAAUAUUAAGUGGGGUUUAUCUUUGAGGACAAAAUGUCUAGUAAAUCUGUGUGUCACGGAUAAAUGGCAUAUUAAAAAGUAAGAGACCUUUUAACGAGCCGAACAGUCUUGGCGUGAAUAAUAGUGCGAGUUAGGUCCGAGUCAUUCUUGUUACAGUCUUCGUGAAGCUCGUCGCAGUCAGCGUAGACGGUGCCGUUAAGGUUAUAGGCGGAAGAAAUCACGUCCACGUAGCAACUGAGGUAGAGGCCAGUAGGGUGUAUACACGAAAGACCGAACAUCAGACGAUUGAUAAAGUAUGAACACGAGAUAUCUCUUUAUUUAGUCUAUAUCGUUCUUCGUCUAAGUCUUAUACGUCGUUAAAUUUCACCUAUAAAUUAAUGGUCCUUUUUGGGGUCGUUUUGGUAGUCGAAAGAGUUAAUCGAGUAGUUGGCCUUCAUGACGUUAUAGAGGUAGUAAAAAGGGUGGGUUAUUUCUACUUCUACCUAUGUACAAAUACGGGUAGGGCUCGGAGGCGGGACAGAGGAACCGUUAACGGUUAACUAGUGGACAUUUACCAGGUCCUUCUCUUCAAACUUGUUAAUUAAAGUCUUUAACCAAGCUCACUAAAUCUUCAUAAUUCUAUGCAGUUCAAGGUUCCAUUAUCUAAAAAAGACGUGGACACUAGUAGAAGUGUGAGUGAGGCUCUAGUUCUCGAGAUGCCUAACAAAGUCGUGAUAGUACUGCUCCUCCUAGUUUUUCUCCCUCUUCGGGCUACUUAAGGGUCCCAGGGGGUCCUGACAGAAAUCAUGGUCGUCCAUGAAGGACGUAUUUUUUUUUUCUUUUUAUUUUCUUUAUUUAUUUAAUCCACUUAGACAGUUGUAUUUUUUUCUUUAUCUGUCUUAAUUCUUCUCUUACCACUUUUUCGACUGAUUGGACUAUCCGUUGUCGUUCACUGGCUUCGGGAGAAAGUCGUUUAGAUAGCUAAUAAGGUACGUGGAAGAAAAGUUAUAGUCGGAAUAAGGUGCGUUCUAAUUCUUAGAUGUUCUAUCUAUUGAUCGAAAGUUAUCGUGUAUUUCACUUACUAAUCUCUCCCAAUAUAGAGAAGUCAAAGGAGGAUAAUCAAUACUCUUUACCUCCAGAUAGAUAUUCUUUCAGGUCGAAUAGAAUCGACGACGUUAAAUGUCACAGUAUAAACAUAAACAUUUGUUGUUUUACUCUAAACACGUAUUAAAAGUAGUGAAACAAAGUCAAACUACCUAUUUUAAAAAAAUUAUAGUUCGAAGUCUCCUACAUGUUCUUUUUUUUAGAUUAUGGACGAGUCCUCGUGGAAACGAGUGAGAUACGUAAAAUGGUCAACUUAGGUUCAUACAUUCUCGACAAGAGAACAGCCAACCCAACUUACCUUCCUUUACCUGGAGGACUUAGGGCCGUGCACGGAACACGUUGUAAUUUUGGUAACACUUGUGUUAAGUAUCUCUUUUUCUUUAUAUAUCGUUAUUCAUUUCUUGUUGAUUAGUUUGUUUUUGUCAGUGUUUGUAUACCGAAAAGUGCGAUAUUAUGAUUCCAUUUAUAUAAACGUAGGUAUUCAACUAAAUGAAACGGUAUUGUGGACAUAAAAAAUAUUCUAUUUACUUAUAUUAGUAGUUAUGUAUUCAUUUGUAAUGUGUGAGGACAUAAAGAAACAUUUUUAAAGUAACGUACUUUGUUUGUGUAAAUUCAAAGAACUCCCAUGUAGUGAAAACUUAAUUCUUUCGGCAUGAGAAAGUACUAAGUCACUCCUUUUGUUCAAUCCUUCGUCACGUUUCGAAUAGAAGGAGAUGGAGAAAUCCCAGACGAUCGUAACUUUGUUAACGCCGUAGUUAUCGUAGAACUAAGAGGUCGGAACUUCGAGAACGUCGGUAGUGCUGUUGAACUAGGAACAGAUGAAGAGAUCGUUUUUGGACUUCACUGUGCAAUUUAAAAACCACUACGGACGAGUUAGUGGAUAAUUGUUACUAGAAGAGAUAUCCAGGUCCUGUAAGGUUCAAGGUUUGGAGUAUUUUCUUCUUGUCGUAAUUCCUCUUCGAUCACUUGUCAACUGAAAAACUGGUGAUACAAAAUUAAACAAACGAAAAAAAAAUUAUAAAUGUCGAAUUUUUAAACUUUUAAAGGUUGAGUUAAUUAACUAAUAUCGUGACAUCUACCAAUUUUUAACGUAUAUAAGAGAUUACUAAAUCAUUGAAGUAAUUGGACCCUGUUUUGGGCUAUUAGCAUAAGAAAAACAAAUAGAAGAUGAUUCCUUCAAAGAAACAAUCCUUAGUAAAUUUGUUUUUUAACGUCUUUCAUAUUCUAUCGUUUUCUAACUCUGUGUCUUACAUAUUGGAGUUAGUAUAAGAACAGUUGACACUCAAACAAAUCACAGUUUCAAGGUCAAAAUAGUGACGUAUCAUGUAGGUAGGGUCGGUAAAGGAGUUAUCGUCAGUAAGAGAAACAAUACCGUGGGACUGUCCUUGUGCUUUCUGUCAACGUACGAUUGGUAUAAGUAUUUAUAAUACUAAAUAGUCUAAGAAGUUCUUUAGUAUAUGAUCUCUUUAUGCUUUAGUCUAUAAAACCCACGUUAUUGGACAACACGGUUCGCUACACUAGGUUAACGGUAACACUGACUUUCUUGACAACCGUACCGAUAACCUUAAGGAGGUUACUCAUCGUGUUCUUCCAAUAGUUACUAUCCCGCCAUAAAGGAGGGAACCUUUGGUCUGUAACGCUAUUAUAGCUACUAGUAAGGUUGUCGUUAGCUCGUCUAUGUCUUCAAAGGAUAACGUCAGUUGUGGACACUCAGUAGUUUCCUAAGAGUUAAAUAAUCCGUAAUGUUUAUAAAUACAAUUCAUUCUUUAUGAAUAAAAAUUUUUAAGUCGUAUUAUUAUACGGUUUAAAUCCUAAAUCUAACUCUUAGACGUCAGUUACCUUUCAAACUUACAAAUAAAUGAGAAAACUUCUUUCUUUGGUUUUCUCCGUUUCUUUCUAGUUUUAAGUGGAAAACCUUUACGGGUUAUACACAACAACUAAGAUGCUCUACUCGACGAAAAGGCUUCUUACAUACUUGAGGUCACCGUUACUGCUGACGAAGAUAAAGUGGAACGAAUGUACAACUUGGUCUCAUUUGUGGUAGGGGACCCAAGAAUCAAUGACCAUCACUAAGCGGGCAUUCACGUCUGACUUUUUAGUAAGUACAAUUGGCGUGUACAACUAGAGUCGAGAAUUUGGUUUUGACGUCGAAUUCAUUAUUAUCCGUGUAUUUCAUAUUAUAAAGUUACUCUUAAUUAAUUAUUACAGGUAACAGCCAAAUAGAAACGUUCGAGUCAGUCUUACUUUUGUUUAACACAUUUUUUUUGAACUCUUACUUUUUUUUUUUUAACACAUAGUUUAUCAUAGAGAAUAGCAGAUCUAUGACAAGCUCUUGAAAUGACAUUUUUAACUGUGGACAUAGUUCACCAAAUCGGUUUAACUUUUCCCAAGUUACUCCAUCUCUAUACUUCGAACCCAGAGCAUAUACCUCGUACGAUCACUGUUCCUACUCUUUAUUCGAAUCGAUCCAACACCUCUUUCGAUCACUAUUUUAAGAUGUUACUGUCCAUGUGAACUCGAUUAUUCAAUCGAUUAUUACAAGGCCGUAUCAUUCACGUUGGAAGUAUCUUCUAAAGAAUCAGAACACAACGAAGUUUCAAAUUGGAUCUGGUAUGAAGUGAACAUAUAAUUGAAUCGAUCGUUAGUUACAUCGAAAAAAUGUACAUUUUAUAAACACGUUAUACUAUAGUAGUUUUCUAGAGUACAAUAGUGUAACAGUUAAUAUAGUGCUACUGUUAAAUUUUCCACUCCUAAUCCGUUAACGAUGGCUAUAAUUCUCUAUCAUUCUUCUUGUUUUCCAUUCGGAUAUUUAUGGACCAGUUAAAAGUUUCCUAGAGGGAGUUCUUCUGCACGUAGUCGUCCUUAUUACAGUGGUUCGAAUUAUGAUUAAUAUAGUGGGCCUUGGUCGUGUCGACGUAGGAGGAGUGAGGUGAAUGGUAACGCAUUUUGGAUUACUUUUAACAUACAUAGUAUAAUUCAGGAGUCAGGAUGUACAUAGAAGCUUCCCAUUCUCAACUUUUAUUCAUCUUCCCGGUCAGUAGUUAGUAGCUAUAAGUGGAUCUUAAUCGUCUUUCAUGGAAACGGAAACCUCGUUCAGCUCGGUACUCACGGCGUCGACGCAACGGUCGUAAUAAAAGAAGAUAUUUCGAUUACCAUCUUAACUACUCUUCGUUAUAGUGUUACGGUUGUUUUAGUACCAUCAGCUACCUGAACAAGACGUAUUAUGGUUAACAUACUUUGUUUACGUAACUUAUUCUUAUAUUAGUUUAUAGGUGGUUGAUAAAAAGUUUACCUUGUCUUUUAUCUCAAACUACAAGUUUUUUGUUUUACUCAGUGGAUCAUUGAUUAAUAGGUAACAAUACAACCUCACAGAUUUUAUAGAAAAUAAUCAUCUUUGUCUCUUCCGUAAAACAUAUAUACGUAUUCUAAAACGAAAAGACUUCUGUAAACGUCUUCAUACUAACAGUACUUUUCAUUAAAGGGUGUACAUACAUGUACACACGCACACAAUUAGUUCAAAGUUUAGAUAUGGAAAGGGGAAUAUAGGCAGGGAGGUACACGUUCUCGUUACCGGUAUUAUCGUCGUCGAAGGUAUUGGGUACUAUCGCCUAAGGUGUAUUUAGGGUUUUUAAAUUCAUAAAAUGAGAGGAUGCGUUCUUAUUUUACCUCCAUUUUCUUCUCUGUUAUCAUUUCAGAUAUCGAUACGUUUAUUCCUUCGAUUUUCGUAAGGAAGCAGAGGGAAAAGGUUGGACGAAAAGAAGUUCGAACAACAUUGGCUUUUGGGAGUUGGCAAGAACUUGACGUAGUCACCAAUUUGGAAGUACGCACGUAAAGUCCCUGAACUUCUGGAGAAGUUACCCUUACAAAAGGACGUUCUUAAUUUAACAGCUGAUCUACUUCUAAAGGGCGUUCUUAAUUAACAGUUGAGUUAUUUCAAAAGGACGGUCCGGAUUAUUAGUUCACGUGGAGGAUAUACGUUGUGUAUAAAUACACCAAAUACGGUUCUUUUUUCCUUUUUUGUCUUUUCUUUAAAUAGAUAAAGAUAUUAACCUGUUCAAGUCUAUUUGAUCCCAAGGUCUACUAUUACCACAUCAAAAGCCCGAGACAUUAACAAACUUAACAAGAAAGGUACAGUUUUACUUUUGCCUUACUUUAAGGAGUCCAAAAAGGAGUUUCUUGUCUAUUUACACUUUCCAUGUGAUUUACAGUAGAUCUCCUUAGAGAACUCCCAUAUUCAUAAGCAUGGUCUAGGUGUUAAAGGACCAAUUAAAGAAGUUCGCGUUAUCAAACUAGUAGGUACGACUGGGAACCCAAAGAAGCUGGACCGGAACGUUCUUUGAGGUACUUCUUUAAUUAAUUUGUAGUUAAAUAUUUUAGAUUAAAGGAGUAACAUGGACUACUAGAUUUUUAGUGUUUGACAUAGUCAAGAACUUAAUGUAUUCUUGAUAGCAUCUGCAUAAGUUUUCGUUAUUGUGUUGUAUAAAACUGUGUUUUCUUUAGUUUUAAAAUUUGAAUCAAAGACAUCCUUGUAAUAUCAUGUAGGUGCUGGUUAAAGAGUUUAAGUUAGUCUUGCGAGUAUCCAUUUGAGUGAUCUUUUCGUUAUAUACGUUGUAUAAUGUUUGGUAUUUAAGGCUACUGUACAUUAUGGAUUUGAUUAAGAGAGACCCCUUUAAGUAGUUUGUACUUUCUCCGUAGUCGUUAAUGGAGAAACUACCUAAAGAGCACGAGAAGUGCUUAAGUUGGUGGUCUUAGUGAACCGAGUGAGUUUUUGGGUAGUGUUGGAGGGGAAGGAGCAGGAUAAGCAGCAGAAGGUGCUUUACGCCAGGUUACCUCUGCACUCUUUGCCCCAAAAUUUCUUCGGCGACGAGCGCGGUAACUAGACUCUCCCUCCUCCUUCGCUCCUCGCUCCUUCUUCUGCAGCCCUGCUCCUCCCUGCGACCACCGGAGCAGGUAAACCUUCGCCUGCUUUGGGAUUGGGAUCCCUCGAGGCGGCGCGGAGCCAGCGAUGCUUAGGCUAGAAAAGAGAGCAGAAAAAAAAUCACAAGAGGCCAAGAGGGUCUUUUAGUUUUUUAUUUUCUUUUUUUUCCUCGUGGCCGUUGAGGCAUAAACUAGAAUUUGUACUUUGUGCGACACCUCGGUUAACCUUCGUCUGUGCACAGUUUAAACACUAACGUCAAACCUAGUUCACCUAAAAAAAACCCGCAGGCGUAAUUGCCAGCCGUUGCCAUUUGAUGGCAUGCCAGGCAAGUGAACAGGUUUUAAGGUUUACAGAGAGUAAUUGUAUAUCUCUUGUUUUUUAUAAUAUUCUUUUAGUAUCCUUACAAGGUUUUAAAUUCAGUAAAAAACUUAUACAGUUACUCGAUCGAAUUAAACCGUAUCCACUAACAGCAAAUAAUGAAGUCUAGAUUUAGGCAGAUAAUUUAUAGUAUAAAGAUUAAAAUUAUUUUCAUUAUUUAAACACAAAUUCUUUUCGGAGGUUAAAUCAACCACGUAAACACUUCAAAGUAAACUUCUCUCUAGAAAGUUUUUCAUUUUGUUUUUUUAAAACUGAACAUUAGAAGGAUUGCUUCCUCUCUCACUCACAGUUGGUAGUAUAGCAUUAAAUACGUUUAGAGUUUCGUACAAUGUAUUCUAUCAUACAGGUAAGAGGAAAAAUCAUUCCGAAGGUGACUUCGAGCGUUAUCGUUAUAAAAAUGUUUGAAAUACUAUUAAAUACACGAUUCUUAAUUUAUAGAUUUUAUUAUAAAGUUAAACAAACAGUUUCAUAUUAUAAAAGAUCGAAUACUAAGGAUUAAACCAAAAAAUAAUAAUUAAUAGAAACUCAACAAUAAUAAUAAUAAUAAUAAAGAAAAAAGAAAAAAAGCAGAAACGGGACAAAAAGUAGAGAGAUCUCCGGAACAACGGAGUGGGUAUAUCAAUUCAAAUAGAGGACUUACUUACUUCGCCCAUCGCACGAUAGAAAAAGAUUUUUUUUUUUUUAUAACUCGCACGUUAUUGUUUGUAUGGAGUAACUGAGUCACAUUUAAUCUCAUUACUAGUUAAUUACAAUCCUUCAUUAAUUAAUUUUAAUCCGAUUCAAAUAUUCAAAUUUGUUACAAAAAUACCUUCUAAAAUUACUUUUUAGUUUUCAAUUAACCGUCAGUUUUCGAAAUGUAUCAUUCUAUCAUAAUUCCCUCGUUACGUUAUCCCCAAAAUUAAAGGGACACUACACAAAACCUCCAAUAUUUGAAAUUCGCGAAAACAAGUUGUUUUUAUUCUUUUUUUUCCAUGGACGAUUCUCAUUUAUAUUGAGAAAAAAACUCACUAAAAAAGAAAAAAGACACACCAUGAAAACAAGGUCAUAAUCAUGCCGCCUAAUCGGAUUAUGCCGCCUAAUCGGAUGCUAACAUAUACUUUACAACAGGAAAGGGUUCGAAAAUAGAAGAAUUAGUAGAAAAUUACUUGUGCCCAAUAAUAACGUGAAUCGAGAUACUUGUAACACGGACGUUAUGUGGCAUAUGUGUGUUUUUCGGUUUCGUUAAAACAAAAUGUACGUUUAACUUUUGAUGAUUCCUGAGUAAACUAUAACUCUGAGUACAUUAUGAUGAUUGUCUGUUUUAUUUCAACUUUUUUUAUAUAUUUUUUAUAUGAAAACAUAAAAAGCUAUUUUAUUAUCUUUUAUAUAACAUUUUCUGAAUAAUUUUAUAUGUUUUUGUUUAUUUUAUAAAAAAGUAGCGUGAAAGAGUAGAGUGCAUUGUAUUACAGAGGUGUUAAGAUUUGCUUCAGAUUUAGUAAUCCGUGGAUGUGUUAAAAAAUUUUUUUUAGCUCUAACACAACUUAAAGAUUUUAAUUAUCUUUGAAAAAUAUCGUAUAAUAUUCACGAAACCAUCCUUAUUUGAGUCCUAAAGCUCGAGAUGAUAUAACCGAACUUGAUUAAUUUCAUGUAGAAUAGAGACAAAUCCUGAAAAAAAAAAAAACUCUUAUUCAAUCGUGCGAUGGAGAAAGUAAGUAACUAUUUUUAUUUGAAUCGAUGUAUACACUCCGUUGAUCCGGUUGUUUUCUCGUUUUCUUUUCCGUUUUCCCUUUUUUCUUUUUUUUCUUUUUUUUCUCCCCCAAUUUAUCCCUAUAUAUAAUUUUUUUUCUUCUUCAAUUCAGCCCACUAUCUUUUUGUAAAAAGUCAUAGAGUGUUCUAUGAACUAGAAGCGCUACUAACAGUGUCCUAGACUCGAUACGAAAAAUUUUUAUUAUAACGAAGAAAGGCCGGUCUUAUAGGUGGUUUAAUGUCGGUCUCACAAGUCCAAGUGGUGAAUCCUGAACAAAGUAUUUCUUUUACGUACUUCUGGGAAAGCUGAUAUUCGGUAAGAUUUUAUCUGAUCAAAUUGAAUUUUAGUUUUUACUCUUUACGUUCAGAGUCAGGAAAGAAAAAUUACAGAAAGACUUAUUUCUCUAGAUAAAAAAAAGUCGUAAUGACAUCUGGAUUUCUCGUUAGACAAAUUAGCCUGUGUUGAUAACUUAACUAAGUAUCGUAAAAUUUACCUGUAGUUGGUAUACAUAUAAAUAUGAUUUACUUUCUAAUCUAUCUUUUAUAAACGAGUUCAAUCCGGUCUAGUCUCAGUAGUCUGGUCUAUCUAGGUUAAACGAGUUGGGGUUUUAUAAAUCAACCAGAAGAAUAUCGAUAUAGAUUUAGCAGUUUGAAAUCCAAGCUUAGUUUAAGCGAAAUAACGGCUCAGUCCUAGUUUAGACUUGGGUUAUUAUCCCGUGUUAGUUCUUAAAUUCAUGUCAUGGCGACUUAGCAUGGCUUUUAGAUAGCCAUGCCAUGUUAUACCACGCACAGUCUGUCACGGCUAUACACAGCCGGUGUUUUUUAAGUACACAUGGCUGUGUAUUAUCAUAUUUUAUAAAAAAAAUAAUUGUUAUUUUAUAAAAUUGUUAAAUAAUAUAUAAUAAUAGUUAAAAAAACUUAAAAUAAUUUUUUUAAUAAAUAAUAAGACUUAUUAUAAAACUUGAUACAGUGAUUGUGAUCUUGACUUAAUAUAGCUACAGAAUAAUAGUGAUAUUCCACGUCAUCUAUCCCGGUUUUAGAACCCGGUAGAGAUAAUUAUUACUUUUUAACGUAAAAUUUCUAAACCAGGAGACACGUAAACUUUCGACGGUGCACAGGAGGUAUCAGUUGUGAGUUGUCGUAGAUAGAUCUCCCAGGUGCCAGUUAUCUUAGUAAUUCACGCUGGUGCCGAUACCGUGAGUUAGUUUAGAAAAAGCACUAGAGGAGAGGAAUGGGGCAAAAAUCGGCAGGCUAGUAAGUGGGCAAUCUUACCCUGCCGAGAGGAGAGUUGUCUGGGCCCUUCGCGAGGCAAAGGACGCGGUGUUAAAAAAGCGAUACUGGUUGAUUAUACUGUACUGUGUUCUUUACAUCGAUAUUUUAUAAUUUAACCAUUAUAAUAAUUAUUUAAAAUAAAAAUAUAGUUGUCUAUUUAAAUAAUUUAAAAUAAUUUAAGUUAUUUAUACCACGCGGAUACCAUUGUUACUGAUGAGGUUCAGAGGUUAUGCUGAAAGAAUUAAUUGAGUAUACGUGUAUUUCAACGUCGAAAAAGGCAUUAAACGGGUGUGUUUUUAAUAUUAUAAAUUAAAUAUUUCAACAUUUAAAAACCUCCUAUUUUUAAAUUUCGUUUUGAUCAUAUCUCCUACUUGGUACACUCUCAGGAUAUUUGAAAUCUUUUUUACUAACCGGUUUAUAUUUGUUGUUUAAAAGAAACAGUGCAGUAAAUGCUUGUUUCGAUAAUGUACUCUUAUCAUAAUGAACUAAAUCCGUAAAACGACUAGACGCAUUAAAUCACUAGAAAAAAAUAAAUUUUAAUAAACAAUUUCGACACCUAAAUCUUUUCCGGGCUAUUUUUUCUUAUUCUAAAAGGAAAAAAAUAACUCACGGUAAACCUCUUCAUUCCAUCAAUUUCACGUUCUUUUUCAUAAUGAAUGACUUUUUUUAUUAUUAUUAUUUUAUUUUAGAAAUUUUGCACUGUUAUUUGCUUUAGUGGAACUUCCUCGUUUACUACACCUGGUUUUGCAAAUAAUAUAAUAAUAUAUCUCGUGCACCUACGCAUAGUAAAAAUUAAUUAAUUAAUUAAAGAAGCAUGCAAGGUCUUUGAGUUGCCAGUUUAAGUUGUGUAUGUUGACGUGCAUGUGAGUUGAUCAUGGUUAUAUAUAUAUAUAUAUAUAUAUAUAUAUAUCAGGCCGAUGAUAUGAUAACUAUCAUAGUUCAAGAACCAUGAUAAUUUAAAAGAUGGCAAUCUAGUUGGGAAACUAGUAAAAGUGGCAAUUUAAUAUGAUAAUUUGGUUGGUGGGUGAGUUGGGAUCCCCUGGUGAUAGUUAAAUUGGCCCCUGGUGAUAGUAGGAUUGGCGUGUAGGAAAGUAGGUUGCCUGUUUUUGAGUUAUCAUGGUUCCCGAACCAUGAUAACUAUCAUAUCAUCGUAUAUAUAUAUAUAUAUCUUAAUCCAACCUUAUGAUAAUUAUCAUUUUGCGAGAAAAACGAUAGUUCAAAAAUUGGUAACCUACUUUUUAAUAUCCCAGUCUUACUAUAAUCAGCCAAUCUCAACUCUACCAGGGGAUCCCAAGUCGGCACGGGUGAUCCNNNNNNNNNNNNNNNNNNNNNNNNNNNNNNNNNNNNNNNNNNNNNNNNNNNNNNNNNNNNNNNNNNNNNNNNNNNNNNNNNNNNNNNNNNNNNNNNNNNNNNNNNNNNNNNNNNNNNNNNNNNNNNNNNNNNNNNNNNNNNNNNNNNNNNNNNNNNNNNNNNNNNNNNNNNNNNNNNNNNNNNNNNNNNNNNNNNNNNNNNNNNNNNNNNNNNNNNNNNNNNNNNNNNNNNNNNNNNNNNNNNNNNNNNNNNNNNNNNNNNNNNNNNNNNNNNNNNNNNNNNNNNNNNNNNNNNNNNNNNNNNNNNNNNNNNNNNNNNNNNNNNNNNNNNNNNNNNNNNNNNNNNNNNNNNNNNNNNNNNNNNNNNNNNNNNNNNNNNNNNNNNNNNNNNNNNNNNNNNNNNNNNNNNNNNNNNNNNNNNNNNNNNNNNNNNNNNNNNNNNNNNNNNNNNNNNNNNNNNNNNNNNNNNNNNNNNNNNNNNNNNNNNNNNNNNNNNNNNNNNNNNNNNNNNNNNNNNNNNNNNNNNNNNNNNNNNNNNNNNNNNNNNNNNNNNNNNNNNNNNNNNNNNNNNNNNNNNNNNNNNNNNNNNNNNNNNNNNNNNNNNNNNNNNNNNNNNNNNNNNNNNNNNNNNNNNNNNNNNNNNNNNNNNNNNNNNNNNNNNNNNNNNNNNNNNNNNNNNNNNNNNNNNNNNNNNNNNNNNNNNNNNNNNNNNNNNNNNNNNNNNNNNNNNNNNNNNNNNNNNNNNNNNNNNNNNNNNNNNNNNNNNNNNNNNNNNNNNNNNNNNNNNNNNNNNNNNNNNNNNNNNNNNNNNNNNNNNNNNNNNNNNNNNNNNNNNNNNNNNNNNNNNNNNNNNNNNNNNNNNNNNNNNNNNNNNNNNNNNNNNNNNNNNNNNNNNNNNNNNNNNNNNNNNNNNNNNNNNNNNNNNNNNNNNNNNNNNNNNNNNNNNNNNNNNNNNNNNNNNNNNNNNNNNNNNNNNNNNNNNNNNNNNNNNNNNNNNNNNNNNNNNNNNNNNNNNNNNNNNNNNNNNNNNNNNNNNNNNNNNNNNNNNNNNNNNNNNNNNNNNNNNNNNNNNNNNNNNNNNNNNNNNNNNNNNNNNNNNNNNNNNNNNNNNNNNNNNNNNNNNNNNNNNNNNNNNNNNNNNNNNNNNNNNNNNNNNNNNNNNNNNNNNNNNNNNNNNNNNNNNNNNNNNNNNNNNNNNNNNNNNNNNNNNNNNNNNNNNNNNNNNNNNNNNNNNNNNNNNNNNNNNNNNNNNNNNNNNNNNNNNNNNNNNNNNNNNNNCCAUGUGACCAUCUCACCCUCCUUCUCUUCACCCCUUUCUCAUCAAAAAAAAAAAAAAACUAUCAUCUCUCAAAACCCUAUCCAUAACCCACAUCAAUAAAAGUUUUUAAAAAUAAAUUUGAUAUUUUUUUUGGAAAACUUAUUAAAGAAUAGUAUUAUAUUUUUCAUAAAUUUUAAAUAAUAUAAAUUUAUAUUUGAGAGUAAAAUUAGUAUUAUAGUAUUCUAUAAUUUUUUUAGUUUAUACGAACCAAAUAAUAAAAUGCGAAUAACUCAUUCCAAUUCCCAAUCCAUAAAUAAACCAAACGUCUUGGAGGAGUGGGUCAUUCCAAUUACUAUUCCAAUUCAUUCCCAUUCCAUUAUCCAUUUCAAUUCCACCCUUGAACCAAACAUGCCUUAAGUGAGGUUAAGUCUCUUAAAGACAUCUCACACAUUGCAUAGUAUGAACACCCAGUAAUUCUUUUUUACUUUAAUUUGUAUUUUUAAAAUUUUAAGUUUUGUAGGGGAUUGUUUGUGAAAAAACUCAAAAUUUUAAAGUUUGAAUUUUAUUCAGUUUGACUCUUGAAUUAUUCAUUUAAUAUUUACUGUUAUUAUUAUUUAUUAUUAUUUUAUUUUAUUUUAUUAUUUAUUUAUUUUCUUUCUCAAUGAGAAAGAAAUCAACGAGAUAUUUUUUCCGUUCCGUUUCUUGCGUCUAACGGAAUAUCAUUCCGUUCCGCUUCUUUCUCGUAACGAGAAAGAGCGUGCUCCGUCAACCUCCUUCACGAUCGUGCUCGCAGGAGAAGGAAUUCCGGUCGUAUCUUAGGGUGUUAUUUCCGGUUAAUCCAGCACGUAAGGACGGAAAUACGCUUUAGGACAGUACUUUGUACAUUUUCGGAUAAGAUCAUAUUUUUAUUUGAAUAUUUACGUUUAUAUGUAAGUUUGAUUUUAUUUUUAUUACAAAAUUACUUAGAUUCUAAUCACAGUCAGAUUUCGGGAAUUUGUUCUAACACAG
rnacentral:lncRNA from 1 species